UGGAGUCCUUGAAUGAUAUCAGUGAGAUAUCAACCACCAUAUCCAAUGCUCUUUCAUUCAACAAACAAAAGAGUAGUCACAAAUUACAAAGGUGCAUAAGUCAUCUACAUUUACAUAAAUGGGGGGAUGUGAUCUCACUUGAACUAUCAUCUUCAUUUUUUAAAAGAGUGGAGCAUUUGCAGGGGCUUGGAAUAAGCCAUUGCAAUAAGUUGGAAGAUGUAAAAAUUGAUGUGGAAAGAGAAGGCACAAACAAUGAUAUGAUUCUUCCAAACAAAAUUGUAGCAAGGGAAAAAUACUUCCACACCCUUGUUAGGGCAGGUAUAAGAUGUUGUUCAAAAUUGUUAGACUUAACAUGGCUUGUUUAUGCUCCAUAUCUUGAAGGACUUAUCGUUGAAGAUUGUGAAUCAAUAGAAGAAGUGAUACAUGAUGAUAGUGAAGUCUGUGAAAUUAAGGAAAAAUUGGACAUAUUCUCAAGGCUCAAAUACCUCAAGCUUAAUGGGCUGCCAAGAUUGAAGAGCAUCUACCAACAUCCACUACUCUUUCCCUCUCUUGAAAUCAUCAAGGUGUGUGAAUGCAAAGGUUUGAGGAGCCUCCCAUUUGAUUCCAACACUUCAAGUAAAAGUCUAAAGAAAAUUAAAGGAGAGACAAGUUGGUGGAAUCAGUUGAAGUGGGAAGAUGAAACUAUCAAGCACUCUUUUACUCCGUAUUUCCAAAUCUGUGAAGCUGAAGCAUAUUCAACAGACACUGAGGAGUCUGAAAUUGGCAGCAUAGAUGAUAUGAAGGAACAACUAGUAUCAAAUUAACUUCUAUCAAUCUUUCAGGUAUUAAUUAACUUUUAUACUAUAUUUGGAAAAUCAUUUUCUUUCCUUAAUCCCAUUCUUUUGUGGAAUUUUUUACUCUAUCUAUGCCAAAGUGCAUCAAAGUCUCGACAUCAAAAUAACUUUCAAUGUUUGAUCUAUCAAGUUUGCCCCUUUUGAAGUAACUGUUAUAAAGUUUGCCCAGAAGGGACUUUGGAGGAGGUCUUUUAUUUAAACAUCUAAUGACAUUUCCUUUUGGUUACUUAAGAACUUGAAAAUAUGCAGAGUUCUCAACUAUGUUAUUUAUUGUGUCUUAAUUUUUUCGAUUCAUUUCAAUCUAUAAGUAGAAAGAGAGAAUACCUAAUUUCAACUUAUUUCUUUAUAUUUCAAGUUGAAACAACAGGUGUUUCGCAACAACUGUAGGUAAAGAUAUUCCAUUAAGAAUUCUCGCUUUGUUUAAUGUAUUUACCAGGACCAACUAUAUGUAAUUUCUCUUCUUUUGUUCAGUUGCCUCUAUCUGGUUGACUCUCAGUUGUUUUUUUUUUUUUUUUUUUCUAUUGCAUUCAGAGUUGGGGCUUGUUCUAGAGGUUCUGACAACAGCUGGGAUUCAAUUAGCUCUAUGUAGUGGGGCCUUGAGUUUUUUGAUUGGAUGCAGAGUAGGGUCUUGUUCUACCUGUUCUUACUCAGUUGGGAUCUGAGCUUCUUCGGCUGCUUCCGUUUCAUCCUGCUCUUUUUCCUUCUAAUUGGUAUAGAUGUGAGCUGGAUUAUGUUUGCUUGCUGGUCUGAGUUUCUGAUAUGUCUAGUGGCGGUGUGCUGAUUCUCAGAGUAUCGUUAUUCAUGGUGCUCGGUCUGCUGGGAAAGUUGGUUAAUGUCCAGAUGCAGGGGCUCAUCUCGGCAGGCUUUGGUUGGGAUCCAUGUGUUUGCUGGAAUUGGAUUCUGUGGGUUGCCUUUGGCUUUUGAUGUAGGCCGGGUUUGUUUUCUUUGUUGAGGCUGGUGGAGUAUGGUGGCUCAGAAGCUGCUAGUAAUCUGUCUGUUGUAUGCUGACGCUGGAAUCUUCAUGGAGGUUGCUCUGGUGGGUCAAUAUGAUAUGGGAAUGCUUUUGCCUUUUGAGUCCUUGGGCGUCAGCUGGUUGCUUGUGUUUCCUCUGCGCUUUAGUUCAUAUACCAGAGUGCAUACUUCCUUGAGUUCCAUAUCCCACUGCCAAGUGUGUUGUCCAUGAUGUAAUGUAAAGCAGUUAAUUUGUAUACCUGGCCUUAAGUUCCUCUCUAGAAAACUUUGAACGCCCUUUAUGAAUGAAAUGUUGUGAGAAAAACUGGAGUUGAUUUUCACAUUUGAGGUCGUUAAUGGUGAUUUUUCUUAAUGUAAUUGUGAUCGAAAAGAAAUUUGAUCAAGUAGUCGAAACUAUAAGCAGAGUUGAUCUUAUUCAACAUUGCAUUAUAAUUUGGUACCCCUCACAGAUCGCUCCAAAUAGCAUUGAAAAGUACUUUCAUUUUCCUUCAGUGGAGGCUUCUUUUUCUUUGCUGGUUAAUAUUCAUAGCUUCAGUGCUUGAUGAAAUUUCGUUACUUGACAUUGUUCACUCUUGUCCCUCCUGCUCUGAUCACAAACAAAUGCCCCAAUAAAUAAGAAUGAUUUGUUCAAGGAAUUUGAAAAUACUUGAACAAUAAAAGAAAAGAAUAGGGGAGAAAGGAAAAGAAAUUGAGAAAGCAAACACUUGGUAGUUUCCAUUUCAAUUAACCGAUCUUUGAAACUAAAAUGUAAUUCUUGGUAGAAUAAAAGAAGACAUGCAACAUCUUAAGAAGAUUCAUCUAAUGGAACAUACCAUGCUACAAUUGGAAACUGAGACCAAAUAGUAGUUUUUGGUAGAAUAGAUAUCGCAUGCCAAAAAGAAAGUCUUGUAGCUUUGACUACUUCAUAAUUCUUGUACGUAUAGCCCACAAAGCUUUCGAGAUCAUACUUGUUUAUUCAGACCUGUUUGAACAUACGGCUCUAGCGGAAGAUCUUACAACUUUAGGAGUUCAUAAUGUCCAUGAAAUCACAGGAAAAGAAAAGGAUGUAUAUCAAGUUCAUGAAAAAUAAAGAGAUGGUUUAUUAAAUUUUGCUAGUGAGUUGGAUCACUAGCAAGCUCCAUGAUAAGCUCCAUUAACUACCGAGGAUUGCUUCACAACCUCUUUGUAUAUUAUUAAGUUGAAAGUAAAAUUAUUAAAGUUAUAUAAAUAGGUGGCAAUUUUGAUAAGCCAAAAUAACACCAUUCGAAAAUUAUAUGAAUUUUAGCAGGUUUGAAUAAGGUGUAAUCAUAUCCGUAUAAUAAUUAUGUCAACUCAUUUGCUAAAUGGAUUGUAUUGGAACUUGAUCACUCAACUUAUCUAACUCACUUAACUUGUUUAAAUACAUGUAUGAAAUGUAUUUGCAUUGUCUAAUUAUAGUUCAUAUUGGAGAAUGAACUACUAUCAAUUUCACAUGAUGAAAUUAUAAUUAGUCAAUAUUACUCGAAAGUGAAAUCUCUUAUUCAAAAAUAUCUCAUUAAAUUCGAAAAGCUAAAAUUAUCAAGUAGAUGGUUAAAGGAACCAUUGAGCAUGGUUUAAAAUUCGAAUAUAAUGUAUUUAUUGUUGUAAUUCAAGCCCAAUAUUUAUUAUUUAUUAUUAAAAAUAUAAUUUUAUGUCUAAUUUUUAUAUUUAAGAUAAUUUAGCACAUUUGAACAAUAUUUUGAGAAUUGGAUUGAAGCAUCUAAUUUGACUAAUUGGAUAACAAAUUGGACUAAUCCGAUCUUAUUUUUCAUAUUUAUCCACCUUCAAUUCUAGGAUAAACAUGAACAAAAGUCUUCAUACAAUUAUAACAAUAUAACAAAAUAAUGAGUAUAAUAUUAAAUCUAAAAUAAAAACUCUACACAAAUUGGUAUAAAACCAAGUAUGACAAUCAUAAACCAAUCCCCUCCCCCAUACUAAAUAAAUGAGAAAUGAUGUUACAAGAUAUAUAUUUAAAAAAAAAUAAUCUUUUAAUCUUUUAAUUAUUUUUAUAAUUUUAACUUCUUAUAUUAUUUUAAAUUGAAUAAUAUAUGAAUUAGAUAUCCAUAUUGUCAUGCGGAUAUCAUGUUUCAAUCACUUGAAUCAUCAAUUCAAUCAAGAAAUUGUAAUGCAAUAAUUUGUCAAUUCAAUGACUAAUAAAAUUUUGAGAACAUUGUAUUUGAAAGCUCUGCACAUAAGAUGAAUAUAAAAGAUUAUGAACUCUUGCAAAAAAAAAAAUGACAUCAUGAAAAUAUGGAAACCCUAAACCUUAAUUUCUUCAAUAAUGCCUAUCAAAAUUUAAGGUUGUGUAAUUGAGAAUGCUAAUGACCCAAGGUUAGAACUAGUCGCUCAUAACUAGACUUGUUCUUAUUUUUUUUAAACAUAUUCCCAUCUUCAUCUCAAAUCUAUGGAAAUUUACUUUCCUAUUUUAAGAAAAUUAAUUUUUAUUUUUAUUUUACAUGUAUUGGAAAAAGCAAAAGAGAAAUUAAGGUGACACAACAAGAAUAACUAUAAAACCAUAAUGACUAUAUAUAUAUAUAUAUAUAUAUAUAUAUAAAAUAAGACAAUUUAAAAUAUGUGUUUGGCCGGUUUUUUUAAGUGUUUUUAGUAGAAACAUUUUUUCUAAAAGUAUUUUUGAGAGAGUUACCUAUCAAAUGUUUUUUUAAGAGGCAUUACAAGUGAUUUUUCAGUUGAGUUUGGUAAUGACUUUAAAAAACAAUUUUAUUUUAUCUAACAUUUAAAUGAUAAAAAUUUUUAAAUAUAAAAAAAUUUAAAAACACUUCCUAAAAUUAUUACUAAACGGACUCCUCAUUUAUUUAAAAGUGUUUUCAAAAUUUUACCACUUAAUUUUUUUUCAAAAACAUUUUUUAAACUAAAAAUAUUUUUUAAAAGUAUUAUCGAACGGAAUCAAAGUCUUAAAACAAAAUCUCAAAUCUACCCUUGAUUUAAUUAUAUUUUUCCAACCCAUCUGAUUGGGCCCAGGCUUCCUUUAAAUACCCACCCCGAUAAUAAUACAAAAGCAAACCACCACCAAAGAUAUUUAAACGACAAUUGAAACCUAUUAAUGAGACUUUGUCUCAUAAUACAAAUUUCGUUAUGUUCACAUGUAGAAAGGGACAAAUAAUUUACAAAAUUAAAAAUCAUAUACAACAGAAAGCGUGGAAUCAAGAGGGAAGAGAGUAGAAAGUUAACGAAGUGGUGGAGCCUCGGCUAAAACUAACAAUGGCAUAUUAUCAUGUGCGUGUCUCAUCGCUGGAUGGACCAAAAUUUGCUUCUCCCAAAGCUCUUUGAAUAUUAUAUUUAGAGCCCACUUGGUGCCUAGAAAAAUACAUUUGCAAGUGAUCUCCAUCUGUCAAUCAAUUAAUCUAUACAAUAAAAAUCCACUUGGUGUUAAUUAAGGAAAAUCAUUUUGUUGGUGGUGGCCUGUCUCCCAUGUUACUCAAGUUUCAAAUCUGAACUUUUCAAAUUCACAAAGUGCAGUGAUUCAUCUUUGUUCCAUCUUUGGCUGAAUUCUAAUCCUUUUUUCUGUUACUUCCGGAAAGCCAUGGAGUUCCUGAGCUCAAUCGUGGGUCUGGUCCCCUGCUUCUAUGAUCACAUCUCCAAGCAUACCGUCUACAUUCGUGAUCUGAAGAAAAAUCUCCAAGCCUUGAGCAAGGAAAUGGUGGAUCUCAACAACUUGUAUGAAGAUGUGAAGGAAAGGGUUGAAGGUGCAGAGCAACGACAGAUGAGGCGCAGAAAGGAAGUGGGUGGCUGGAUCUGUGAAGUAGAAGACAUGGUGAAAGAAGUUCAAGAAAUUCUGCAGAAGGGUGAUCAAGAAAUCCAGAAGAGAUGUCUCGGAUGCUGUCCCAGGAAUUGUUGGUCUAGCUACAAGAUUGGGAAGGCAGUAAGCGAAAAGCUGGUUGCUGUAUCUGGUCAAAUCGGCAAAGGACAUUUCGAUGUUGUAGCCGAGAUGCUGCCUCGUCCUCUAGUAGAUGAACUGCCCAUGGAGGAGACUGUGGGCUCAGAAUUGGCGUAUGGCAGAAUCUGUGGGUUUCUCAAAGAUCCACAAGUGGGAAUUAUGGGAUUAUAUGGAAUGGGGGUUGUGGUGUCAAAAUCGUCCAACAUUGAAAAAAUUCAGGAAGUUAUUUGGAAUAAAUUACAAAUCCCACGUGAUAUAUGGGAAAGUAGAAGCAGUAAGGAGGAGAAGGCUGUCGAAAUACUGAGAGUUCCGAAAACAAAGAAGUUCGUGUUGUUGUUGGAUGACAUCUGAGAGCGACUUGAUCUCCUAGAAAUGGGGGUUCCACAUCCCGAUGCUCAAAAUAAGUCCAAGAUAGUUUUCACGACCCGAUCACAGGAUGUGUGCCACCAAAUGAAAGCUCAGAAGAGUAUAGGAGUGGCAUGUUUGUCGUCAGAAGCGGCUUGGACUUUGUUUCAGAAGGAGGUAGGAGAAGAAACAUUAAAGUCUCAUCCACAUAUACCGAGGCUUGCAAAGAUUGUUGUUGAAGAGUGCAAAGGUUUACCUCUCGCUUUGGUUACUGUUGGGCGAGCCAUGGUGGGUGAGAAAGAUCCCUCAAAUUGGGACAAGGUAAUACAAGAUUUGAGCAAAUUUCCAGCUGAAAUUUCAGGUGUGGAAGAUGAAUUGUUUAAUAGAUUAAAAGUUAGUUAUGAUAAAUUGUCUGACAAUGCCAUCAAAUCUUGUUUUACAUAUUGUUCUUUGUUCUCUGAGGAUUGGGAGAUUUAUAUUGAAAGCCUUAUAGAAUGUUGGAUAGGAGAGGGAUUUUUGGGUGAAGUUCAUGACAUACAUGAAGCGCGUAAUCAAGGGUAUAAAAUUAUUAAAAAACUAAGGCAUACAUGUUUGUUGGAGAGUUGCGGUUCAAGAGAAAAAAGGGUUAAGACACAUGAUGUGGUCUGCGACAUGGCUUUAUGGUUAUAUGGUGAAUGUGGGAAGAAAAAGAACAAAAUUGUAGUAUACGAUGAUGUUUUUAGGCUGAAGGAAGCUACAGAAAUUUUAGAACUGAAAGAGACGGAGAAGAUGUCAUUUUGGUAUCCGAAUGUUGAGAAGUUCCUUGAAACAUUGGUGUGUCCCAAUCUCAAGACUUUAUUUGUGGAGGGAUGUCAUAAGUUGACGAAAUUUUCGAGUGGAUUCUUUCAAUUUAUGCCUCUAAUAAGAGUUUUGAAUUUGGCAGGGAAUGAUAAUUUAAGUGAGUUACCUACUGGGAUUGGUGAAUUGAAUGGCUUGAGAUAUCUUAAUUUGGAACCCACAAGAAUAAGAGAGUUGCCCAUUGAGCUAAAAAAUUUGAAAAAUUUGAUGAUUCUACGUUUGAAUUCUAUGCAAUUCUCUGUAACUAUCCCACAAGACUUGAUAUCAAAUCUCAUAUCUUUACAGUUGUUCGACAUUUGGAACACCAAUAUUUUAAGUGGAGUUGAAACCUUGCUUGAGGAGUUGGAGUCCUUGAAUGACAUCAAUGAGAUAGGAAUCACCAUAUCUAGUGCUCUUUCAUUGAACAAAUUAAAGAGAAGCCACAAAUUACAGAGGUGUAUAAGGCUUCUACAGUUACAUAAAUGGGGGGAUGUAAUCACACUUGAACUAUCAUCUUUGUUUUUAAAAAGAAUGGAGCAUUUGAUUCAGCUUGAAGUAGACCAUUGUGAUGAUGUGAAAGUAAGUAUGGAAAGAGAAAUGAAACAAAAUGAUGUUAUUGGUCUCUCAAACUACAAUGUUGCAAGGGAGCAAUACAUUUACAGCCUCCGUUACAUAAGAAUAAAAAAUUGUUCAAAAUUGUUAGACUUAACAUGGGUUGUUUAUGCUUCAUGUCUAGAAGAACUUUAUGUUGAAGAUUGUGAAUCAAUAGAACUAGUACUACACCAUGAUCACGGAGCUUAUGAUAUUGUGGAAAAAUUGGACAUAUUCUCAAGGCUCAAAUGCCUCAAGCUCAAUAGACUGCCAAGAUUGAAGAGCAUCUACCAGCAUCCUCUGCUCUUUCCCUCGCUUGAAAUCAUCAAGGUGUAUGAUUGCAAAAGCUUAAGGAGCCUCCCAUUCGAUUCCAACACUUUGAACAACAAUCUUAAGAAAAUUAAAGGAGAGACAAGUUGGUGGAAUCAGUUGAAGUGGAAAGAUGAAACCAUCAAGGACUGUUUUACUCCAUACUUCCAAGUCCAUGAGGCUGAAGCAUAUUUUGCAGAGGAGUCUGAAACUGGCAGCAUAGAUGAUGAUAUGCAGGAACAGUUGGUAUCAAAUUAAUUUCUAUCCAUCUUUCAGGUAUUAAUUAAUUUUUAUGUUAUAUAGAUUACUUCCAUAAUUUUCUGCCUAGUCCUAAUAACUUUCAAUCUAUUUUUUUCCCUUUUAUUUUCAUUCUCUUCUAUAUUGCUUUGAGUCUUUCGAGAUCCAAACAAAGCCAAAUCUACACCCCUUUCUAUAUCAUGGUCCUGCCCCCAAGAUCUUGGAUGGGUAAUUCAAUUCUAGUUGUCCCUUGUGAAAUAAUUGUUAUAAAAGGUUCGCCCAGAUGGCACUUUGAAGGAGGUCUAUUGUUUAAAAAUGGGAUGACAUUCCCUGUUGGUUACUUGAGAACAUGAAAAUAAUGCAGAGUUUUAAACUAUAUUAUUUAUUUGUCUUAAUUUUUGUGAUGGAUUUCAAUCUAUAAAUAGAAACAGAUCAACUUCGUUUCAACUUAGCUCCAUAUAUUUCAAGCUGAAAAACAGGGUUUCACAACUACUAUAGUUGUAGAUAUUCCAUUAAAGAAUUUUUGCCUUGUUUGAUGUGUUUACCAGGACCAACUUCACUUACAAGGGUAAUAUCUCUUCUAUUGUUAAGUUACCUCUAUCUGGUUGGCUCUGAUCACUUUUUGCUUUUCUAUUUUCGUUUUUUCAUUUCUCUUUUUGUUGCAUUCAGGGUUGGGGCUUGUUCUAGAAGUUCUGGCAACAGCCGGGUUUUCAUCUUCUUUAUAUAGACUGUGUUGCUGAUUGGAGAUGUCCUGCUCUUUUUCCUUCUACUUGGAAUCUGGGUUUGGUCUGAGGUCUCUGGUAUGUUUCAUCAGGGAGGCGCAAAUGCUGAUUCUCAGAGCAUUGAUAUUUCAUGGUGCUGAGACUGCUGAAAAGGUUGGUGUACUUAUGAUGGUUGCAGCAUCCUCUUUGUUUCUGGAUCUCAGGGACUGGAUUCUGUGGGCAGCCUUUGGCUUUUGAUGUUGGGUGGAUUUUGUUUUGUUAAUUUGUUGAGGCCGGUGCAGUGUGGUGGGUCUGAAGCUGCUAGUAUGCUGCUGCUGGGUCAAUGCGGAUGUGAUAUGGGAAUGCUUUUGGAUCUUAGGGCUUCAGCAGGUUGAUUAUGUUUCCUCUGCUUACAAAUAUUUUAUCACCAGAUCCUACGUGGAGAUGGGAUGGAUUGUUGUAAUAGUGAUGGUGUGUGUAUGUGAUAUAAUCCUAUGAACAUAGCCACAUGCUUUGGUUCAUAUACCAGAGCACCGCUUACUUCCUUGAGUUUGAUAUCCCACUGUCAAGUGUUAUGUUACGAAAACAAGUUUCACCGGUCGUGGAUUGAAAUGUUUUGUGAGAAAAACUGGUUGAUUUUAACAUUUGAGGUUGUUAAUGGUGGAAGUAUAAGCAGAGUUCUGAGGACUCAAAAUGUGAUCACUUUUUCUCAAGCAUAUUUCUUCCCCAAUAAAAAGGUUUAUUUGUGCAAUGGUUUUGGCACCAACUGAUGAAUGAAAGAGAGCUUUCAUUCCGGAGCAUUUAGAUCUCCAAACAGCAACCUGACUGAACAUGACCACAAAAUUCCUCCGGCGCCACCAAUUUCCUCCACCUGCGACUCUUCAAAUCCAACAUGUACGCCACAUGGGCUUCACCAAAGCUUCUGCACCCAAUCACUAACAGCUUCCCCUCCCAUGUUGUCAUGUAAGCUGUGUGGCGAAUCUCAGCUGGCAAUCUGUCUACUGUCUGCCAUCUGGAGUCCUGCAGUGUCACCACCUCACCCGCAUGACACAUGUACAUCCCCAUGUCACCACCGUCCACGCAGGUCCUCGGGCACGUGCUGUCUUCCAGGAAAUCCUCCUCUGCCUUGUCCCACUCCCAGUUGGCAAAAUCGAAGGCUUCCGCGCUCCUCUCGAACCUGCCUUGCAUCUCUGUGCAGUACCCGCCCAUGACAUGAAACUUACCACGGUGGAAUACUCCUUUGCAUUCAUCGCUCUCCCUUGCCAUGUCAGGCAGUGGGGCCCACUAAUCCUUUGCCACGUCAUACACUAGCGCUGACUUCAAUGCAUUCUUCCAAACCCUACAAACCGCGGCGAUGGUGGAGAAGUUUUCAUAAGAAACGCGAAUUAAACAUUGGCGGGCAACGUCGUCCGGGAGACCCGGAAUAAAGUCCAUGAACAAAAAAAAAACAGCAAGACUGUGGUGCUAUUAAUGGAGAGAAACCCAACCAGAGAGCAAAGAUGGGGGAUUGAAAUAAAUUGAGAGAGCAGCUAGCUACAGAGGAAGAAGAAGGAAGAAGAAGAUGAUGAAGAGAGAAACAGUUGAAUAUAAGAUGAUGAUGAUGAGGAGGAGGAUUGGCUUUUAUAGAGCUUGCCAAGAAGACUGUAAUACAGGUUUAAAAAAGGUUAGUUUCUAUGUCUUGUUAUUUAUUUGCCAACAAGACUGUAAUACAGGUUUAAAAAACGCUAAAUUCAAAAAUUAAAACAAAAAUUGAUACCUAAUCUAUUAAAAUUUUAUUUUAAAAUUUUUGUUACUUGUUUUGUUAGAACUAUCUAAUAUAUUUUUUCAAUUUUUAAAAAUUAAAAUUAAAUUUAUUUUUUAAAUUUUCUUUUUGCUAUAUUCUACAUUCGAAUGCCAAAAUAAUAAUAAUAAUAAAGAAAGAAAAAUGAUAUGAAAUUCAUAAAACCUUAUCAACUCAAAUAAGAGCAUUAUCGUUCCUAAGGUCAGAUUUUUAUUGAAAACUUAUAGGAGAAAAAUAAUAUGAAAAAUAGUUUUUUUUUUUUUUUUGUAUUUGAUUUUAUGAUAGAAAAUUAUGAAGAAAAUUAAAUAUAAUUAAAAUUAGUUAUAUUUAUAUAUUUUAAAUUAUUUAAUCAUUAAACUAAGGGAAAUGAGUUUAAAUAAUAAUAAUAAUAAUAUAUAAAUUAUUUAUUAAUUGAAUUUUUUUUUAAUUUUCAUUCACUUUUUAUCUUCUUUUUUUUUUCUAUUUUUUUUCUAUUAUAUUUUUCCUCAAUUUUCUCUAAAAGCAAACACAGCCGACAAAAAAUGUUUUGACUUUCAUUAAAAUUUGAAGUCUUAGUAAUACUUUCACAUUUAUUUUAAUUCAAAUUAGAAGCCAAUACAAGCAUAAUUGGAGUGUGUUUGGAAUAUUUUCCUAUUUUUUACUUUAAUUAGAAGUUAAAAUUGAAUCAAACUCACAAUUUUUAAAGGAUAAUAUAUGUAAAAUAAAGUUUUCACAAUCGAACAACAUUUUUCUAAUUUCUAUAUUAAGCUUUUUUAAAAAAUAAUCAUAAGAUUUUUGAACAAAAAUAGUUAAAAAAAAAACCUCUUAUUGAAGUUAAAAAAAGAAACUGUUAUCUUCAUAGAAAUCCUACCAAAUAAGACUUUAAUCUUAUGGGAAAAGAAAAAAAAAAAAAAAAGAAGUGGGUCAGUGGCCACUAGAUAAUGCAUUAUGCCACCAUUUGACCCAACUUGAUUCUACCUUCAUGAUUUAUCCUUUGAAUUGUAGGAAGAUGAGUUUGGACAAAUCAAAUCAAUUUAUGUCCUAAUUGAUGCCAAAAAUAUCCAUAUAAUUCAAAUAAAUAUAAGUUUGAUAGUGAGACAAAAGGGUAUGGCGUUUUUUAUGGGUGUUGCCAGCAUUAUUAUAAUUUAUAGCUUUUUUUAAAGAAAAACUAAAUUAAAAUUAUCAAAAUAUAUUUUAUAUUUACAAAAGCUAAAAACAUAACCAAGAAAAAAUCUUUAUGCUUUAUAUUUUAAAAUUUAGUAAAAGCAAAAGCAUAUCCAAAUCAGCCCCACACAUAAAAGAAAGCUAAAAUUGAAAUUGACUAAUCAUUUUUUUACUGAGCUGGCAAACCUUUUUGACUUUUUUCUUUUACUGUGCCAAUGAGAAAAAUGAUUCAUAUUAAAAGUGAUAAAAUUAAUUAAUUAAUUUUAUAGCAUCCUUGCCCAGGAGUAGGAGUUUAUCGCAGGAGGCUUUGUUUCUUGGCUUGAAGCAUGCGUUGCUCACCACUUCCUUCAUGCGAUUCUCUGGCCUUUUAUGCUGGAGGUUGACUGGUACACAUCAGCCUGCCGCUUGCUACCUGAUUGGUGAUUGUGAAUGCUUUUGGGUCUUGCUGGUUGCUUGUGUUUCCUCUGGUUUUAUUGUAUUCCUCUGCUUACAAAUGAAAUAUCACUAUAUAUUCUGGGAAGAUAGGAUGGAACUGCAUUUUCAAAGUAUGGAACAUAGUUUACAAACUUGGAUUUUGUUCUUCCCUUGAAAUUUGAUCACUCAUUAAUGAAAUUUUUUCGUUCAUUUUUUUGGGAGAAAAAAUGGGGUUGAUUUCAACAUUUUAGACCAAUUUAUGCAUAGAACUAAUUUGUUAAUGGCAAUUUGCUGCUAAUUUUGCUGGGUUUGAAAUGUUCUGCUCUCUUUCUAUCCUGUUGGUGCUGUUGGUGUUGGCGUUUGCUUAAUUGGUGCUUGGUCUUGGUGCUUCUCAGAAUUUUUUUAGUAAUAUUAUUUGUAGGAUAUUCUUAGAAAAAGGUAAAUGGUAAUAGCAUCUGAUUUAUUUAUUUAUUAAAAAAAUAUUAUAAAUUGUAGAAGUUACAUGAAUAAUUCAAAAUUUGGCAAUAAAAAUACAAUUCAAUCCCACCAUGACCAAUCAGAAUUGUUUAAAGAAUAAUGUAAAGUAUAAUGUAGUGGUGAUGAAUGCAAGCAUAAAACCAUUGUGGAGCCAAGAUUCAAGGGGCAUAAAACCAUUGUGGAGCCAGGAUUCAAGCAUAAAACCAUUGUUGGUCUAGCUACAAGAUUGGGAAGGCAGUAAGCGAAAAGCUGGUUGCUGUACCUGGUCAAAUCGGCAAAGGACAUUUCAAUGAUGUAGCCGAGAUGCUGCCUCGUCCUCUAGUAGAUGAACUGCCCGUGGAGGAGACUGUUGGCCUAGAAUUGGCGUAUGGCAGAAGCUGUGGGUUUCUCAAAGAUCCACAAGUGGGAAUUAUGGGAUUAUAUGGAAUGGGGGGUGUGGGCAAAACCACCCUCUUGUGGAAAAUCCACAAUAACUUCCUCCCUACAUCCAGCGAUUUUGAUGUUGUGAUUUGGGAUGUGGUGUCAAAAAUUUAAAAAAUUCAGAAAGUUGUUUGGAAUAAAUUGCAACUCUCACGUGAUGGAUGGGAAAGUAGAAGCACUAAGGAGGAGAAGGCUGCCGAAAUAUUGAGAGUUUUGAAAACAAAGAAGUUCGUGUUUUUGGAUGACAUCUGGGAGCAACUUGAUCUCCUAGAAAUAGGGGUCCCCCAUCCCGACGCUCAAAAUAAGUCCAAGAUAGUUUUCACGACCCGAUCACAGGAUGUGUGCCACCAAAUGAAAGCACACAAGAGUAUAGGAGUGGCAUGUUUGUCGCCAGAAGUGGCUUGGACUUUGUUUCAGAAGGAAGUAGGAGAAGAAACAUUAAAGUCUCAUCCACAUAUACUGAGUCUUGCAAAGACUGUUGCUGAAGAGUGCAAAGGUUUACCUCUUACUUUGAUUACUCUUAGGCGAGCCUUGGCGGGUGAGAGAGAUCCCUCAAGUUGGGACAAGGUAAUACAAGAUUUGAGCAAAUUUCCAGCUGCAACUUCAGGUAUGGAAGAUGAAUUGUUUCAUAGAUUAAAAGUCAGUUAUGAUAGAUUGUUUGACAAUGCCAUCAAAUCUUGUUUUACAUAUUGUUCCUUAUUCUCUAAAGGUUGGUGGAUUUCAAAUGAAACCCUUGUGGAAUAUUGGAUGAUUGAGGGAUUUUUGGGUGAAGUUCAUGACAUACAUGAAGUGCAUAAUCAAGGGCAUAAAAUUAUUAAAAAAUUAAAGCAUGCAUGUUUAUUGGAGAGUUGCGGUUCAAGAAAACAAAACAUUAUGAUGCAUGAUGUGAUCCACGACAUGGCUUUAUGGUUAUCUUGUGAAUGUGGGGAGGAGAAGAACAAAAUUUUAGUAUACAAUGAUGUUUCUAAGUUGAAGGAACCUUAAGAAAUUCCAAAAUUGAAAGAGACAAAGAAGAUGUCAUUAUGGGAUGAGAAUGUUGAGGAGUUCCCUAAAACAUUGGUGUGUCCCAAUCUCAAGAUUAGUGGCUUGUGAUAAGUUGAAGAAAUUUCCAAGUGGAUUUUUUCAAUUUAUGCCUUCAAUAAGAGCUUUUGAUUUGUCAAAUAAUUAUAAUUUAAGCGAGUUACCUACUGGGAUCGGUAAAUUGGGUGCCUUGAGAUAUCUUAAUUUGUUAGCCACAAAAAUAAGAGAGUUUCCUAUUGAACUUACAAAUUUGAAAAACCUAAUGACUUUGCUUUUGGAGAAUAGGAAAUUCCUGGAAUUAAUUAUUCCACAAGAACUGAUAUCAAGUCUCAUAUCUUUAAAGUUGUUCAGCACAAUCGAUACCAAUAUUUCAAGUAGAGUUUCAGAAAGCUUGUUGGAUGAGUUGGAGUCCUUGAAUGGCAUCAGUGAGAUAUGUAUCACCAUAUGUACUACUCAUUCAUUCAACAAAUUAAAGAGUAGUCACAAAUUGCAAAUGUACAUAAGUCAAUUCGAGUUGGAUAAAUGUGGGGAUAUGAUCUCACUUGAACUACCGUCUUCAUUUUUUAAAAGAAUGGAGCAUUUGCGAUGGCUUUGUAUAUCUAAUUGCGAUGAAUUAAAGGACAUAAAAAUUGAAGGGGAAGGAGAAGGGACACAAAGGGAUGCGACUCUCCGAAACUACAUUGCUGUAAGGGAGAACUACUUUCGUGCCCUUUGUAACCUAUAUAUUUUUCAUUGUUCAAAAUUGUUGAACAUUACAUGGCUUGUUAGUGCUCCAUAUCUUGAGGAACUUACCGUUGGAGAUUGUGAAUCAAUAGGACAAUUGAUAUGUUAUGGAGUAGAGGAAAACUUGGACAUAUUCUCAAGGCUCAAAUACCUUAAGCUCAACGAGCUGCCAAAAUUGAAGAGCAUCUACCAAUAUUUGCUGCUCUUUUCCUCACUUGAAAUCUUGAAGGUGUAUGAUUGCAAAAGCUUAAGGAGCCUCCCAUUCGAUUCCAAUACUUAACAAUAAUCUAAAGAAAAUUAAAGGAGAGACAAGUUGGUGGAAUCAAUUGGAGUGAAUCGAUGAAACUAUCAAGUACUCUUUUACUCCAUAUUUCCGAAUCGACCAAGUUGAAGCGUACUUAACUGAGGAGUCCGAAACUGGUGGCAUAGAUGAUAUACAAGAGCAAUUGAUAUCAAAUUAAUUUCUUUCAGGUAUUAAUUAACUUUUAUGCUAUAUUUGAAAAAUAAUAUUUUUCCACACUCCCAUUCAUUUGUGGAAAUUUUUACUUUACCGAUGUCAAAGUGCAUCAAAGUCUCAACAUCAUAGUAACUUUCAAUGUUUGAUGUAUAUGGACUACUUCCAUAAUUUUCGGCCUAAUCUUAAUAAUUUUGGUGUGGUUAUAAUUUUUUUCUUUUUUAUUUUUCUUUUUCGUCCUUCUAAUCUUAAGCCUUCAUUUUGAUGACAGACAUAAUUUAGAAAGGAAAAAAAAUGUAAGAAAUCCAAAUCUAAAUCUAUAUAUAUAUUUUUUAUCUCUAUCUGAUUGGCUCUGAUCAGUUUUUGCCUUCUUUUUUUUUCAUUUCUCUUUUUGUUGCAUUCAAGGUUGGGGCUUGUUCUAGCAGUUCUAGCAACAGCCGGGUUUUGAUCGUUUUUAUAUAGACUGUGUUGUUGGAACUCCAUUUUGCUUGUAUCCAAUUAUUAGACAGGAAUCACAUGUUGAAUCAUAUGAAGAAAUUAUGCCAAACAUUUCUAUAGAAAGGGAACAUACAGAAUCUGAACUAACCUGAUUCCAUUUUGAGUGUUGAAUGAACAAGGUAUGGAUCUUCUAAGGCUGUGGAGGGCACCACCUCUUUCUGGAUUCUCUCUGACGAUGGGAGCAGGAGAGAAAACAAGUCUAUUAUUAUUUCAAAUGAUGUGAUUAGACUGAACAGACACUUAGCCUUUGGUUUUAUACCCUCUUGCCUUAGGGACCAUACCCUUUGGCUAUUGGGCCUCACGAGUCUUAGGCCCAUCAUCUAAGGCCCGUGAUGGCAAUGGGCUCUACACAUAAGGUGACCCAUACUAUGGAAAAUUGAUACAAAAUAAAUAUUAAAAGGCGAAUAGCUUAGUCAUGUAUCAUUGUUAAAUAUGUGUGAGUCCAUAUCUUAACAUGUGUUGCUGUUGUUUUUGCUGAUGGUUGAUGUCCUGCUCUUUUUCCUUCUACUUAGUAUUUGGGUUUGGUCUGAGGUCGAUCUAGGUAUGUUUGAUCAGAGAGGCAUAAAUGCUGAUUCUCGGAGCAUUGAUAUUUCAUGGUGCUGAGACUGCUGGGAAGGUUGGUGUACUUAUGAUGGUUGCAGCAUCCUUUUUGUUUCUAGAUCUCAGGAAUUGGAUUCUGUGGGCUGCUUUUGGCUUUUGAUGUUGGGUGGGUUUUGUUUUGUUAAUUUGUUGAGGCUGGUGCAGUGUGGUGGAUCUGAAGCUGCUAGUAUGCUGCUACUGGGUCAAUGUCAAUGUGAUAUGGGAAUGCUUUUGGGUCUUUGGGCUUCAGCUGGUUGCUUGUGUUUCCUCUGCUUACAAAUGUUUUAUCAUCAGAUCCUAUGUGGAGAUGGGAUGGAUUGUUUUAAUAGUGAGGGUGUGAGGGUGUGAUAUAAUCCUGUCAACAGAGCCACAUGCUUUGGUUCAUAUACCAGAGCACUGCAUUCUUGAGUUUGAUAUCAUAUCCCACUCCCAAAGUGUGUCGUGCAUAAUGUAAUGUAAACAAGUUUCAACUUUCACCCAUUGUGGAUUGAAAUGUUUAAUUUGGGAGAAAACUGGUUGAUUUGUAACAUUUGAGGGUGUUAAUGGUGAUUUUUCUUAUUAUUAAUUGUGAUUGAAAAGAAAGUUGAUGAACAAGGUGGAAGUAUAAGCAGAGAGUUCUGAGGACUCCUAAUGUGGUACAUUUUCUCAAGCAUAUUUCUUCCCCAAUAAAAAGGAAAACUUGGGUUCACUUGUGCGAUGGUUUUGGCACUUGGCACUAACUGAUGAAUGAAAGAGAGAUCCAGGUUUAUCACUGAUGAAUUGAAAUGUUUUGUUAUUGUUGCUUAGUUAAAAAAGUUGCGGUUCAGUUUGCUAAUCUAUUGAUAUCUGCUGCAGUGAUUCUGCUGCUGAUGAAUAUAAAAGACAAUCAGUAGGUGCAGGUGAUGCCAUCUCAUCUGCUCAAUCAUCUCAAGUAUUACAGCCUGCUCGCUCAGGGGCCAGGGGACGUGCUUCAAUGGCUGAUAUUGUGAGGAGGGGCAGGCCAGGGACCAGGAGACAUGUUUCAAUGGCUGAUGUUGUAGGGAUGGGCGGACCUGGUGCCAAUACUUCCAGCCUGCCAAUUACGUCAACUGGAACUUCUCCCCCUCUUGUUGGGGCAGUACCAGAACAAUGUGGUGUGCCCAAUACUUCCAGCCCGCUAAUUACAUUAGAUGAAACUUGUUUCCCACUUCUUGGAAGAACACCAAAACGAUCCUCUUACCGUGUCACUACUCCCUUUGUUCUGCCACCAGUGGAGGCAGAACCACACCAAGAUUUGCAUUCUCCAAAUCCUUGGUAUGUGUUGGAGGUAAGUCAUGAGCCUUGCACUACUGAUGAAUGGCCCACCACUGAUUAGCCAACAGCACAUAAUGGCUUAUCUGUUUUAGGUGGCUCACCUGCCUUAGAAACAGAGAUAUUCUAACGAGUUUUGGGUCAAAAUGGCCUAUUUAAAAAAAAAAAUGUAACAUCUAGCCAUUUUUUGAAACUUAUGUUCAAAGUGGUUUCUUUGGUGCUACGUAGGCGCCAUAUCAUUAAAAAAUAUUUUUUUUUUCAUCAUUUUAGUUAAAGCCACAGUUGACAAAUACGGCUUUAUAUUUGAACUAAAACCGCAGUUGGCAACUGCGGUUUUAGUUAAUUUUUUUUAAUUUAAAAUUUAAUAAAAAAUUAUUAAAUUACAAUUUAUGAUUGAAAUUUUAAAAAUAUACUUAAAUAAUAAAUUAUUUGUAUUUAAAUUUAAAAAUCUAGUUACACAUAGGUUCCCUGUGAGAUUAUAUAUGUUUUUUAUUUUCCACUAUAUUAAUGUUUAGUGAAUAUUUUUUGUGACUUUAAUUAAAUGAUUAAAAAUUAUAUUUUGUAGUAGACUUUUUGUAAUUAAUUUCAUUAACUAAUUUUGUAAAAAAAUCUAUACAUGACAACUAAUAUAUGAUUUCGAGUAAAUUUUAAAUUAAUUUUAUCAAACAACCUUAAUAUUUAAAGUAAAAAUUAAGUAAUAAGUUUUAAGUUAAUAAAUUAAAUAUAAUUUAAUUUAAAAUAAACUUAAAUCAUUAAGUAAUAAGUAUUAAGUUUUAUCAAACAUUAAAAAAAAAAAUUAUUAUCGUAAAACAAUUAGGUAUUCAAUUAAAAAACCCAAAAAAAAGAAAAAGAAAUUGUAAUCUUGAUGAAUUUUGUAGACUGUUUCAUAGUUGAUGGUGAUUCAAAUACAAAAGUACAGUAUCAAAAUCAAAAGAAAGUUGUGAGUUGUGAGCUGUGAGUGAGAUAUGCAUCUGAACCGCCAGCAAAAGAAAUUUAAAAUUGUUAAUAUAAAAAGAAAAAUGGACGCAGUGAUCAUGGGCGGUGUUUAUGUACUGGGUUUGAAAGUGUUGAACCUGAACCAAGAACCAACCAUUUAUAGUUGGAAAUUUUGAAUACUACAUCACCAAUCACCAUGCAUACGCUCCUCCUCCCUUCAAAGUCAUCAACUCGCUAACUUUUUCUAAUCUCAAAUUUAAACUUAUAUGUUAUAUAAGUUUAUUAUUUUAAGAUUAUUAAUUUAUUAAUAAAUAAAACAUUCAUUUAUAAUAUCUUAUAUUUAUUAAUUUAUGUUUAUUGAACUAAUACUAAAUUCUUAAGUUUAAAUAUAAAUAAUUUAUUAUUAAAGUAUAUAUUUUUAAUUUUAAUAAUAAAUUAUAAUUUAAUAGUUUUUAAUUAAAUUUGAAAGUAAAAAAAAUUAUAAUUGAAAUCUCAGUUACCAACUACGACUUAAAAGUAUAUUAUUAAUUCGAUAAAGAUAAAUUUAUCAUAAUACAAAUAAAUUAAUAUCUUAAAAAACAACAAAUUAAAUAUCUUAAAUUAAUAAAUUAUACAAUUUUAUAUAUUAUUUAUAUGUUAUAUAAAUUUAUUAUUUUAGGAUUAUUAAUUUAUUAAUAAAUAAAAUAUUCAUUUAUAAUAUCUUCUAUUUAUCAAUUUAUGUUUGUUGAAGUAAUACUAGAUUUUGAAGUUUAAAUAUAAAUAAUUUAUUAUUUAAGUAUAUUUUUUAAAUUGUAAUUUAAUAGUUUUUAAUUAAAUUUGAAAGUAAAAAAAAAAAUUAUAAUUGAAAUCUCAGUUAUCAACUAUGACUUAAAAGUAUAUUAUUAUUUCGAUAAAGAUAAAUUUAUCAUAAUAUGAAAUAAAUUAAUAUCUUAAAAAACAACAAAUUAAAUAUCUUAAAUUAAUAAAUUAUAUAAUUUUAUAUAUUAUGCAUAUGUUAUAUAAGUUUAUUAUUUUAAGAUUAUUAAUUUAUUAACAAAUAAAAUAUUUAUUUAUAAUAUCUUUUAUUUAUCAAUUUAUAUUUGUUGAAGUAAUAUUAGAUUUUUAAAUUUAAAUAUAAAUAAUUUAUUAUUUAAGUAUAUUUUUUAAAUUUCAAUCAUAAAUUUUAAUUUAAUAAUUUUUAAUUAAAUUUUUAAUUAAAAAAAAUUAACUAAAGCCGCAGUUGUCAACUGCGGCUUUAGUUCAAAAAUGAAACCACAGUUACCAAUUACAGCUUUAGUUCAAAUAUGAAGCCGCAUUUGUCAAUUACGACUUUAACUAAAAUGAUGAAAAAAAAUAUUUUUUAAUGAUAUGACGUUUACGUGGCAUCAAAGAUGCCACUUUGAACAUAAGUUUCAAAAAGUGAUUAGAUAUUACAUUUUUUUUUUUUUUAAAUGGGCCAUUUUGACCCAAAACUCUAUUCUAACCCAUCUAACUUGUACAGUGAUACUGCUGAAAUGUCCCAGGACUGCCGGCCAGAUGAGGUCCAAGCAUCUGUAUCCAGUGAACAGUGGGCAGAGUAUAGCGCUGCAGGUGCGUCUUAUAGAGCUUGCCAACGAGACUGUAGUACAGGUUUAAAAAAGGUCAGGCGGUCUAGAAAGUUAAAAUGAAGGCGACCAUAGGUUGUGUCAAUACACAAGACCAUACAAACCGCCAUUGUUUCUAUAUUUUGUUAUUUAUUUUUAAUGUGAUUGGUUCCCUAGAAAAUCUGAUGUGACCCUGGUUCAUGAUGCCGAAAAUGGAAAUCAUGGGACUCCAUGUGGAUGGGUCUAUAUUUAUCACUCUUUUGAAAAUUCAUCACCCAUCAAAAUGAUCAAAUUUCAUAAUCUAAGCUUGAAAAUACAUCUUAUCAUUUGCCUUCUCACUCUCAAAAAUUCAAAAUAAAAAAUUCCACAUAAUCAAUACAUUUUGGAUUUUAAUUAUUUUAAUCCAUUCUAUCUUCAUUAUCUAAGUCCAACUUCUACUGUCAGUAAAAGUAAAACUUCAUUUCAGGAAGAGAGGAAUUGAUAAGUUUUAACAAAUAAGUGUAAAUACAUUUUCUAUUUUUAUUUAAUUUAAAAUUUUAUAUAACAUACCAAAAUUUUAAAAUGUUUAUAUUAAAAAUAUAAUGAUUUAAAACUAUUUAAAAAAUGAGAUAUCAAAAAAAUUAUUAUCUUAAAUUUAAAAAAUUAAUGUAAUUUUUUUUUAAAAAAAAACAUAAUAUAAAAAAAAUAUAUUGGAGGAGCAGAAUAAUUGAGAGAGAAGCAACAAAACGUUAAGUACAAAGUGGAGAAAUGCAACUAAUGAAAUUGGAAGUAACAAUGUCGUUUUGCAGGCACAUGAGGGUGGCCCAUUUCUCCCCUCUUUUUAUUUCUUUUCACACGCCAACUUGACUCAGCCCACAAUAAAUCCUUACUUAUCCCUUGUGUAAAUUGGAAGUAACGUUUUUCAAUUAUUUUUAUUUUUACUAAAUUCAUCAAGACAUUUGACAAAAUUUAGAAAUGAUUUUUGAAAUAUUAAAAAAUUACCUAAACUAUUUCCUAAAAAAAUUUAAUCAGUAAUUAUCCUAAAAAUAUUUUCAAAAACCAUUUUUAUUAAAGUAUUUCGAAUAAAAAGGUUGUCGAUCACAUGUAAAUUAAUAUUUAGAAGCCUUAUAAUAGAUGGUGUUGAAAUUUUCUCUCUUUUAAAAUUGACGUAUAAGAAUAAGAAAGUAUGACUGAAAGAAGAGAUUAGCUAAGUGACAUCAAGAAGCAUAACUCUUAGAAUAUCUUAAUUUUUUCGGCAAAAAAGCAAUUGAAUAUGAUAUAAUAUUGGUAGAAAUUAAUCAACCUUACUUGCCUAUUCAAGAAGUCAACUAUAUAUCAUUUAAAAAAUUAUCGCUCCCUUUGUAUUUAACAUGCUUAAACAUUAUAAAAAAUUAUCAAUUUAUUUAGAAAAUAUCAAUGCAUACAAGUGAACACUAAAUUGUUAUUAUAUAUUACUUCAAAGUCGUUUAAUUUAUUUUAAUUUUUAUAUAAAGAUUAAUUAAUUUGAAAACACGUAAAUUUCUAACCAAUCUUCUUUAUAUUUUACCUUCCUCACUAUUUUUUACUUUCCUAAUUUGGGGAAAGCCUUUUCUUAAAAAAUUUGGUUUUCCAAAUUUCAAAUUGAACCCACUUCAUUUGGGCAACAUUAAGUUAAUUGAUCCUAAUCAAUGCCAAAUACUAUGAAUCUAAAGUUCAAAUCAUAGCAACAUAGAGAGGGAGUUCAAUUUCAAUACAAAAUACAAAAAGUGUAAAACUAGAUAUUAAUAUUAAGACAUCAUACUAAUUAAACAAGUUUCAUUUUUGUCAAAAAAAAUAUAUCUAGUUCCCAAAAAUAUCAAGGAAAAAAAUAUAAAAAAUAUUUUUCUUCAUAUUUGGUUUUACUAUGAUAAAUUCGAGAUAAAAUCAAAUAUAAGAAAUUUUAAAUAUUUUAAAUUAUUUAAUCUUUAUAUAAAAAUAAAGUUAAAAUAAGUGAAAUGACUUCAAAAUAAUAUAUAAAAAAUAAAAUUAAUUUAUUAGUUUUAAUCCUAUUUUUUAUUUUCAUUGGUUUUUUGUCUUUCGAUUUUUUUCUUCUUUAUUUUCUUUUUCUCAUAUUUUUCCUCAUUCAAACAUACCAAAAAAAAAAAUUGUUUUAACUUUCAUUCAAAUUCAAAGUCUUAAUAAUACUUUCACAUUUAUUUUUAUUCAAAUUAGAAGAAAAUACAAAUAUUUGGAAUGCCUUUGAAAUAGUUUCCUAUUUUUCACUUUAACUAAAAGUUAAAAUUGAAUCAAAAUCAUAAUUUUUAAAAGAUAAUAUAUGAAAGAGUUCUUAGCAUAAAUCAAAAUAAAGUUUUUACAAGGAACAACAAUUUUUUUAAUUUCUAUAUUAAAUUUCUUGUUAAGUGGUCAUAAGUUUUUUAAACGAAAAUAGUAAAAAAAAAAAAAAAACAUAUGAUUGAUACCAAGAUAAAUUAUGAAUCCUUUAAAGUGAUCCACUACACUUUUUUGGGGUGGAAAUUCAGUCAUUAAUACAUGUACUUGAUCUGGGGGUGCCCUACAAUUCAAGUCAAUGAAUUUGGACAAAUCAAAUCAAUUUUUUUCCCAAUUGAUACCAAGGAAUAUCCAUAUGAUUCAAACAAUAUUUAUAUUGUUUGUUUGGAUUUUGCCUAAAGUAUUCAUGAAUGUGUCCAAAUAAUAUGCUUAUCAAUGGCACUACUAAUUUUUGCUUCCCCCUUUUCUUUUUUUUUUCAUUUUUUGUUUGUUUUGAAUUGGUACUUCCUUUCUCAUUCAUUCUACAUUCUUUUUUUAAAAAACAUUUGUCUCUUUUGCAUACAUCCUAAAAAGCCCAAAGUGUCUUUUUUUUAUUUAUUAUUAUUAUUAUUAUUUUUUAAAAAAGAACUUAAUAAAAUCUUUCGCUUCUAUAUAUCUUAAAAUGAAAAUAAAAAAUAAAAUUUUAUUAUUAAAGUUUUAUUUUGAUUUAUAGAUAAAGUUAUUUCAUAUUUUAUAAAUCUCUUCCUAUAUUCAUUUUGUUCUUUGCAAAUUAUAAUUUCACUCACUUCAACUUUGAAAUAAAAUCAAAAUAAAAAUAAAAAAUUAUAGCAAAUUAUGUUUAAUUUAAUCCGCUUUUCAAUUGGAAAAUACUAAUAGUGCAACCCAUAUCUGUCUAAACUUAGUGCAUAUAAUAUUACUUUUCAAUGGACUUGAAAACUAUUUAAAAACCGACAACUCCAAAGUCAAUUAUCUCAAUUAUGGAGUGUCAUGGUUCCAAAAGAUAAAAGCAAGUGUGAAGAUCCUUAAAAUGUUUUUGAGUGUAAUGGUGUUUCCAAAAGAUAUAAGCAAAAAUGAAAAUAUCGGAAUCACGGAUAUAUCAAUAUUUCGAUUUUACGAAUAUGUCAGAUAUAUCGGAGAUAUAUUGGUAAAUAUUUUGACAUAAAAUAUCGAUAGACCUAAAAUUAACCAAAAUUUAUAAAAAUAUAAAAUAAAACUUUUAGAAAUGAAAUUAAAAGUACAAUAGACAUUUUAAAAUUAUUUUGUUAAAUAAAUUAAUGUGUGUAUAUAUAUAUAUAUAUACGUGUCAACAAAAAAUAUAAAUUUGAUAAGUGUAUAUUGAUUAUUAAAUUAUAUCAAAUAUUAUUUGAUGAUUAUAUUGUGAUAUUUGAUUAUAAUAUAUUUCGGUGGAUAUUUUGACACAAAAUGUCUGUAAACCUAAAAUUGAUCAAAACUUACAAAAAUAUAAAAUAAAACUCUUAGAAAUGAAAUUAAAAGCAUAAUAAACAUUUUAAAGUUAUUUUUUUUUAAUAAAUUGAUAUAUAUAUAAUAUUGUACAUGUUAAUAAAAAAUAUAAAUUUGAUAAGUGUACAUUGAUUAUUAAAUUAUAUAAAAUAAUAUUUGAUGAUAAUAUUGUGAUGUAUGAUUAUAAUAUGUUUAAUUUUAAAAUCUAUUUAAUAUUAAAAUUAUGAUAUAUUAUAAAAUAAAUGAUGAUAAAUGUAUAAAUUUUUAAUAUAUUAAUAAUAUUAAAAAUACUCUGAAUAAAAUUAUGUUAUAUUUUUACUAAUCAAUUAAAUGAAAAAAUUUCAUUCAAUUAUAAAAUAGUGAUAAUUAAUUGUUAUUUAAAGUGUUUUUUUUUUAAUAUUUUAUUUAUAUCCGAACUUUCGAUAUAUAUUUCUUUAGUGCAUAUUAUAUAUCAAAGGGCAAGUUUGCUCUAGUGGAGCUAGGAGUUGGGGAUGCAUGUUGAACCUUCGAAUCCCCCAACAGCAACAAAAAAAAAAAAAACUCAAUUUUGAGCUUUGACCGCGUUGACCGCCCACGUUGACCAAUCGUUGACCACCGAUAAAUCCAUGCUAUAUAUCGUUUCACCACCCGCCGACACACCGAUAUUUCAACGAUAUUUUCUUCCCUAGAUAUAAGCAAGUAUGAUUUUCCUUAAAAUGUUUUUCACAUUUUUUUUGACAUAAUUAUUUAAGUUGCCUACCAAUAAAUCUUUUUCUGAUUUUUGUAUGAAUUGAAUAUUAUUAUUUUUCUAAAAUAAGAAGUAUGUUUAAUAAUUAAUUUUUCUAAGUAAUAAUAAUGACCAACAACCUUUUAGACCUAGUUUUUCAAUCAACUUAUUUAUUUCCUAGGUAUAAAACAUGGAGAAGUAAAAUACAUGUAUUGAUGGAUCAAUUAGAGGGAGGGUUAAACCUACUAAGACACUACCCACCUCACUGGAGAAUGGAAAAUUAAAUGGUUAUAAAUACAUCAUCAUUUCCCUUUUUCCAUAAAAAUGUUGCUCCAUGUCCUCUUAUCAAUUUCACUUCAAUUAUCCUCAAAAAAAUCACUUCACAACUUCAAAGAUUUGUUAGUAAAAUUGUAAAAGUACUAACAUGUCACUUGAGUAAAAAAGACAUGAUUACUAUGCAAAAAAUGAAACAUAUGCCAUAUUUAUCAUCUAAAUUAUGUACUUUUUGAAUAGUAAUUACAUGUUACACUAGGUAGAAUCAUGUUAACAUAUUAAAUGGAUUAGAAUCGUGUUAUCUUGUUUAAUGAAUGUUAAUAGGUUUAAUAGGUUAGAAUCAAAUUAAUGGGGGUUACCUAUAUCAAUUCAUAUAGAGGUCAACUUAACCUAUUUAUUAAAUUAGUUAUGUCUAUAUCAAGUCAUUUUAACAUGAUGUUUAAACAAAUCAUAUUCCAAUUAAGUAAACUUUCACUAGUUUUUAUCUUGACACAAUACAAAUCCAACAUAAUAUGACCCAUUGUCACCCUAGUUAAGGAGCAUAAGAGUGUUGCAUCAAGGAAGUGGAAGAAGAGCAUAGUGAUAUAAAACUUUAGGGAGUGGAAGCAUUUAAUCAAGUAAAGUUGUGUAACUUUUAUUUUCAUAAGUAGUGAAUUAUUCAAUUGUCAAGAGACCAACCAUAGUUUUUUUUUUUUAUACCUAGGGAUUUCUAGGUGCUUUCCACAUAAAAUUCUAUGUUGAAAUGUGUAAUUGGAAAUCUCAUGCAUGAGAUUGAUAAGAUAUUGAUGAUAAUUGAGUUGGAAUAAAACAAUUUAACUUUGAGGGGUUAAUUGCUUGGACUACCUAUUUACCCCUCCUUCAAGAAGUUCCAUAUAAGGGUCUCCAAUGGGCGGGCCGGGCCAUGGAAAAAUGUUAGGCCCGCGGCCCGGCCUAUGAGUCCGCGGGCUAGCGGGCUGGGGGCGGGCUGGGCCAACGGGCCGGGCUGGGGGCGGGCUGGGCGGGCCGGGCCGCGGGCCGAGCCUUGGGCUUUUUUAAAUAAGCCAAAAUGGCUUUAGAAAGGAAGAGAGAGGGAGGGAUUCGAACCCCUCCCCUCAUGCUUUAAUAUAAAGGCUCUAACCAACUGAGCCACAUUUAUUUUGUGUUAACUAAAUGAGUUAGUUAUAUAUAUAUAAAAUAAAGUAUAUUAUUUUUUUAAAAAAAAUUAACGGCUCCAACGGUCAUGUGACCGUUGGAGCUCCAGCCCAGCUCCCAGCUGCCAUGUGACCGUUGGGCAACGGUCACAUGGCCAAUUUUUUUUUUUUUUUUUUUUCUAAAGCCUUCCUAUAAAUACAUCUUCUCCCUUUUCAUUUUUUCAUCAAAUUCUCUCUAUUUCUCUCACAUUCUACAAUAUUUCAAAUUCUUUUAUUUUUCCCUCAAAUUAUACAAUAUUGUUGGUGGUGCAAAACAAGCAUUGGUGGCUCCAAGAGUUCAAAUUUGCUAGGAAUUUCUGCAUCGGUUCUCUAAUUGAGUAACAUACUUCACUCCUACUACUUUAUUUUUUUGUUACAUUUUUUUUAUAUUUAUUACUUUAUUAUUUUUGGCAUAAUAUUUUAUCAAUAAUUAUAAUAUGACAAGUGCUUCUUCUUCAUCUAGUCCAUGUGAUGAAAUAUCAUCAAACAAAAAAUUUACUUCAAAUAUAUGGAAUUUUUUUGAUAGAGUAGAAAUAAUUUUAGAAAAUAAUAAAAAAGAAAUAAAAGCAAAAUAUAAAAUUUGUAAUAAAUUUCUUACUGGUGGCUCAAAUGCAGGCACAAGUCAUUUAAAAAGACAUCACGAAAAUUGUAAAACUAAAAAUAAUGUAGAUAUUAAAAAUUAUAUGCAAUUAGGUAAAAAUGAAAGUGGAAAUUUAAAAACAUUUUCUUAUGAUGAAUCUAACUGUCGUGAAGAAAUGAUUGAUUAUAUAAUAAGAGCAGAACAACCUUUCAACAUGAUGAAAACUCAUGAUUUUGUAGGAACAAUUCAACGAGGUAUUAAUCCUCAAUUUAAAGGUUGGUCUGGAAAUACAGUUAAAAGAGAUAUUAUGAAAAAAUUUUAUACACAAAAAGAAAUUUAAAUUUUUUUUUUUUGCAAAUUUUGAAGGAAAUAUUUGUUUAACAUCUGAUAUUUGGACAUCUUUAACUCACACUGGUUUUUUAUGUAUAACUGCUCACUACAUUGAUAAUGAAUGAAAAUUAAAUAAAAGAAUAAUUUCAUUUAAAUUAAUAAAUGCUCCACAUAGUGGUAAAAAUAUAGCAUCUUUAAUAAAUGAUGAAAUUAUAGAUUUAGGCAUUCGUGAUAAAAUAUUGACAAUAACAUUAGAUAAUGCUGCUAAUAAUGAUACAACAAUACAUAGACUAAAACGAUAUUGGCAAGUAAAAGAAGAUCAUGCUAAAAUAUUUCAUGUGCGUUGUUGUGCACAUAUUUUAAAUUUAAUUGUAAAGGAUGGAUUAAAAAAUGUUGAUGAUACAUUGGAAAAAAUUAGAGGCAUUGCAUAUAGUAUUAAUAGUUCUCAAGCAAAACAUGAAUUAUUUUUUGAUUGUUGCAAAAUGUUAAAUAUGAAAAGAAAAAAUAUAAAUUUGGAUAUGGCCAUUAGAUGGAAUUCCACAUAUAAACUUUUACAAAAUAUUACAAAAUAUAGAAAAGUAGUCGAAUUAUAUGAAAUAUAAUUACUUAACAAUGAUUGUGAAGCAGAUAUUUAUGCAUUAAGUGAUUAUGAUUGGCAUGUUGCAGAUCUUUUAAGAGAUCUUUUUGAAAUUUUUGAUACUUCAACAAACAUUUUUUGUGGUGUAUAUUAUCCAACUUCAAAUCGAGUUAUUAUGCAAAUAACUAAUAUUUUUAUUGUACUUCAAAAAUAUUUAAGUUUUGAAAUAUUUAAUGAUACAAUAUUUGCAAUGAUAGAAAAAUUUAGAAAAUAUUGGGGGGAAAUACCUUUAAUUUUUUAUAUUGCUUUAAUUGUGGACCCUAGAUUGAAAUUUGAAGCUUUGGAUGAAUGGUUAACAAUUAUUUAUUUUAAUGACCAAAUAAAAAUUGAAGAAAUUAAAAAUGAAAUAAAUUCAUUAUUACAUAAUUUAUAUAACUAUUAUAAAGAAAAAUAUGGUAAUGAUAUUAAUACUAAUAAAUUACCACCUACAUCUACAAACUCCUCAUCUUUUUAUAAAGGAGCUCUAGAAAUGUUGAAAAGUCGAAAAAAGACAACAAAUAGUUCUCCAAAUAAUACAUCUGAUUUAGAUAAAUAUCUUAAUACUGAUAUAAUUCCAUUUGAAGAUCAAGAAGAUUUUGAUAUUUUAAUAUGGUGGAAAUCACAUCAACACAAAUAUCCUGUGCUUUCUAUAAUUGCUCGUGAUGUACUAACAGUUCCUGUGAGUACAGUUGCAUCAGAAGCUGCUUUUAGUGCAGGUGGAAGAGUUAUUAGUAAAAAACGAUGCAACUUAGCGCCAGACGUUAUUGAAGCAGGGAUAUGUGUAAAAGAUUGGGAAAUAGUAGAUAAAAGGAUGUACGAUUCCAUUUGAGAAACAGAGAUGUUUGCCAAUAUGGAAUCUUUAAAACUAUCAAGAUCUUCAUGGAUGCAUGAUAGUUCGCCAUCACCGCCAGAAAAUAAUGACUAAAUGUAUAUUAUAUUUUUAUUUUUAUUUUUUGUGGUUGAAAAAUACAGAUGAUUGACAAAUAAAUAGGUGCCAACCUAGUUGGGAUGUAUUUAUUUUAUAGUGAUGUAAACUUUUCCCACAUUUUUAAAUGUAAUUAUACAUUCAAUGAAUAAAAUUUUGAAAUGAAUAUUUUUUUUAAUACUUUUUAUUUUUGUAUUUUUUUUUUUAAAGGGGCGGGCCUAUGGGCCGAGCCUAAAUUUAGGCCCGCGGCCUGGCCCGGCCCGCCCAUAAACGGGCUCGGGCCUGCGCGGGCCGCGGGCCGCGGGCUUUUUGGAGACCCUUAGUUCCAUAUCAAGAAAAAAAUUAUUUCAACAUAUAUAUAGAUAUUUUAUAUUUUCUAAUUUUAAAUUAAUUUUUAUGUUGGGAAAUUGAAUGAGGGAAUAGUUGGCUCAAUUUUCAAGCUUGGCAACAAAAUUUGUUGUUAACAUGUUAUUUUACCUUAUUUUAUACAUUUUUUUUGGAAUAAAAAUAUAUAAUCAACUACUCUUGUAUGAUUGAUUUAGAUGUUAGAAAAGGUUAUAACCAUUAAUUCUAUUAAUUGACCAACAAUUUUUUAUAAACUUUAAGUUGCUAGCAUUCAUAUAUUAUCCUAAAAUUAUUAAUUAUAAUUUUAUUUAAGUUGAACCACAAAUCUUGGGUAAAUGAUGAAGUAUUUGUUAACAAGAUACUUGUUUAAUUAUAUUGGAAGUUUUUAGUUUGAGGAGUUGUUGUUGAAUUCAAAUUCCUAGAAGCUAGCUUUGAGGACUAGAUAGUUGUCUUGAUUUUUGUUAUAAGUUUGAUUUUUAUAUUGUUUUCAAACAUGAUGUGUAAAAUGUAUUAAUGGUAAUGAUGUUGAAACAUAGCUAAUGCUACUAGAAGAAUGUUGUAUAGAGUGCCUUUGGUGAGUUGGAUCAGGGGGACAAGCUCCAUGACAAGCUCAAUUUAUUACAAAGGAUUCCUUCACAACCUCUCUUUGUAUGUUAUUAAGUCGUAAGUAGAAUUAUUAAAGUUAUAUAAACAAGUGGCAAUCUUGAUACGUCAUAAUGACACCAUUCGAAAAUUAUAUAAAUCUUAGCAGGUCUAAAGGUAUUUGUAAAACACAUUUGUAUUGCCUAAUUAUGGUCUUAUUGGAGAAUGAGUUAUUAUCAAUUUCAUGGAACAAAACUUUCAUUAGUCAAUAUUAGUUGAAGGUGAAAUCUUACUCAUAAAAUUUUUCAUUUAAAUUUAAAAGUUAAAAUUAUAAAGUAGAAAGUUAAAAGAACCAUUGAGCAUAGUUUAAAAUUUGAAUAUAAUGUGUUUAUCAAGCCCAAUAUUUAUUAUUUAUUAUUAAAAAUAUAAUUUCAUAUUUAAGAUAAUUUAGCACAUUUGAACAAUGCUUUGAGAAUAAGAUCGGAGCAUCUAAUUUGACUAAUUGGAUAGCAAAUCAAACUAAUCCAAUCUUAUUUUUCAUAUUUUUUCCACCUUCAAUUCUAUGAUAAAUAUGAACAAAAGUCUUUAUAUGAUUAUAACAAUAUAAACACUAAAAUAAUGAGUUUAACAUUAAAUAACAAAAAUUUUAUUUUAGUCUUCGACAUAUUGUUAUAUAAGUUAUAUAUAUAUAUUUAUAUAUAUGUGUGUGUGUGUGUUAGUAAAAUAAGAAAUAUUAUUAUAUUUAAAAUAUUAAAUAAUAAAAUCACAAUAUUUUGUUAUUAAUAAUAUUUAAUUAAUACAUUCUAAUUAAAUCUAAAAUAAAAACUUUACACAAAUUAGUAUAAAACCAAAUAUGUUCACCAUAAACCAACCCCUGUAAAAAUACUUAAAUAUACAAAAGUCAAAGUAAAUAAAUGAGAAAUAAUGUUAAAAGAUAUAUAUAUAUAUAUAUAUAUAUAUAUAUAUAAAGAAUCAUUGUCUAGUAUUUUAAUUUUUUUUAUAUUUUUAACUCCAUAUAUUAUUUUAAAUUUUAAUAAUAUAUGAAUUAUAUCUGCAUAUUGCCAUGCUGAUAUCAUGUUUCAAUUACUUGAACCAUCAAUUCAAUUAAGAAAGUCUAAUGCAAUAAUUUUCAAUUCAAUAACUAAUUAAUAAGAUUUUCAAAAUAUUGUAUUUGAAAACUCACCACAAAAAAUGAAUAUAAAAGAUCAUGAAAUUCUUGCAAAGAAAACUUACUUCAUGAAAAUAUGGAAACCCCAAACCUUAAUUUCUUCAAUAAUACAAAUCAAAAUUCUUAUGUUUAGGCAUCUUAGGAGAGAACCAAUAAUCUCAUCCACAAAUCAAGCAUAGUCAAUAGUCAAUUCUUAUGUUUAGAAGUAAUAAUCUCAUCCACAAAUCAAGCAUAGUCAAUAGUCAAUUCUUAUGUUUAGAAGUAAUAUAUACAUACAUACAUAUAUACAUAUAUACAUACAUAUAUAUAUAUAUACACACCGUGUAUAGAUGAUGUAUCUUUUGGAAAGUCAUGUAUAUAUUUAAAUGUUGUAAUGUAAAUCUUGCAUAAUAUAGUUUGACCAUUCAUCCAUUCAUUCAUCCAUCUUAUACUCUUGCAAAGAAAAGUAACUUCAUGAAAAUAUGGAAACCUCAAACCUUAAUUUCUUCAAUAAUGCUUAUUAAAAUUUUUGUAGUAAAAAGUUGUGUAAUUGAGGACACUAAUGAUGCAAGGUUAUAACUAGUCACUCCUAACCAGACUUAUUCUUAUACAUAUUCCCAUCUUCAUCUCAAGUCUGGAAGUUUACCUUUCUAUUUUAAGAAAAUUAAUUAUUCUUUUUAUUUUACAUAUAUUGAAAAAGGUAAAAGAAAAAAUAAGAUUGAGCGAUAUGAACCACUAUAAAACUUGAAUCAAUCUCGACAUAUAUGUGAGAAGAUAAUUUAAAAGUGUAUUUAACAGUGUUUAAUUUUGAAGUGUUUUUAAUUUUAAUAAAAGUAUUUUUUUAGAAGUGAUUUUGAGAUAAUUACCUAUUAAAAGUGCGUUUGAUAAUGAUUUUAAAAUAGUGUUUUUAGUUUUUUAAUACUUGAAAAAUAAAAAUUUUCAAGUGUUAGAAAGAAUAAAAAUAUUUUUUAAAAUUAUUGUUAGACGCACUUUAAAACCCCGUUUAGUAGUGAUUUUAGGAAGUGUUUUUAAACUUUUUAACACUUUAAAAUUUGUAUUAUUUAAGUGUUAGAAAUGCUAGAAACGUUUUCUAAAAUCAUCAUAAAAUGUAUUCUAAGAGUGUGUGUGAUAGUGAUUCUUGGAAACGUUUUUAACAUUUUUAAUACUUAAAUGAUAAUAAUUUUCAAAUGUUAAAAGGUUAUAAACACUUCUUAGAAUCACUACCAAAUAGGUUUUAAGUGUUUUUUCAAAAAACACCACAAAUGAUUUUUUUUAUUUGUUUAAAAGUGUCUUCUAAAUUUUAUUAAAUACUUUAUUUAGAAAAAAAAAUUAAGCUAGAAGUGCUUUUUAAAAACACUAUUAAAUGGACCAUAAAUCUUAAAAUAAAAUCCCAAAUCACCCCUUGAUUUAAUUAUAAGUAAUUUUAAGAGAAUCAUUUAUUAAAUAUUUAUUUCAAAAAGCACCACAAAUGAUUUUUUAUUUGUUUAAAACUAUUUACUAAAUUUUAUUAAAUACUUAUUUUUGUUCAAAAAUAUUUUUUAAGGAAGAAGUGUUUUUUUAAAAAUAAUAUCAAAUGGACGUGUAAAUCUUAAAAUAAAAUCCCUUGAUUUAAUUAUACUUUUCAAAUCCAUCCAUAAGCCUAGGCAUCCUUGAAAUACCCACCCCUGUUAUAAUACAAAAGCAAACCACCACUAAGGAUAUUUAAACAACAUUUUAAAGACAAUCGGAACCUAUCAAUGAGACUUUGUCUCAUAAUACAAAUUUCGUUAUGUUCACAUGAAGAAAGGGACAAAUAAUACAUAAAAACUAAAAAUCAUAUUGUGGACCCCGUAUUUCGGCUCAAUGCGUUUUUCACUCGAUGGCGAACUCGAUUUUAAUUUGAAAAAUGAUUUUUAUUGAUUAAGAAAAUGACUUGGAGUCGCCACUUAUUUUUGUUUUAUUUUUAAAGGGGUAAACAAAAUAAGAAAGAAAACCCUAAGUGUGACUCCUUAUUUUAGAAAAGGCGGUCUGUGAAAAACCGGAUCGGGCUCGGGGGUCAGGUUACUUAUCGGGAAGGUACGGUACGAACCGUAGCACCCCUCUAAGUCCCUAAAGUCGGGUCUCUACUAAUAAAGUGAAGCUGAUGUGGCAUAACAAUUGAUUAAUUAAGCAUGGAUACCAAACAAUGAUCAAAUGUGUGAAAGUGAGAGAUGAUCAAUAAACACAAUCGGGGUACGGGACGUACCUUAGUCGUAAGCUGAGCGCUAUCAUAAGAGACAAGGUUAGUGCACAAAUACAAAAUAAUCGCAUGCAGAUCAUAGAGUGAGGCAAGCUAAUCAAGUAUGACAAUCAAGCAAUCAAUGAGAAAAUCACAUAUGUUGGGUCCCACCAAAACCCAAUUGAUCCUGCCUGAAUUAAUCUCACGAAUCCCAUUAUUUCGGAAUCAUGAAGAUUCAUCACUCUUGCUUGUGUAAAAAUCAAAAGAAAUAAAACAUUAUUUAAGAAUCGAAGUGGAAUUAAAACUGUUCGAGAGAAAAACUGGGUUUUUGAGAUUUAGUUGGAAAUUGGAGUCUCGAAAAUUAUUUGAAGAUUGGAGUCUUGAUAACUAAAUUUAAGAAUUGGAAUUUCGGAUAUUAAAUUUGAAAGAAAUUAGAAUUUUGGAAAUCGGAAAUUAAGUUCAGGAAUUGGAAUUUUGAAGAAUUGUUUAAAAUGGGAUUUCAAAAUAAAAUACUAAAAUAAUAAUAAUUAAAUAGAUUCAUGUGAGUACUGGAAUUUUGGAAUUAGAAAUUAAAUCGGAAGUCAAAAAUUUUAAUGAAUUAUUUAAAAUGGAAUUUUAAAGUAAAUAAAUAAAAUUAUAACUAAAUAGAUUAAUGCGAAUUUUGGAAUUUUCAGGAAUUAGAAAUUAAAAUCGGGAGUCGGAAAUUUUAAUAAAUUGUUUAAAAUGGAAUUUUAAAGUAAAUAAAUAAAAUAAUAAUUAAAUAGAUUAAUGUGAAUUUUGGAAUUUUCAGGAAUUAGAAAUUAAAAUCGGGAGUCGGAAAUUUUAAUGAAUUGUUUAAAAUGGAAUUUUAAAGUAAAUAAAUAAAAUAAUAAUUAAAUAGAUUAAUAUGAAUGUUGGAAUUUUGGAAUUAGAAAUUAAAACGGAAGUCGGAAAUUUUAAUGAAUUUAUUUAAAAUGGAAUUUUAAAGUAAAUAAAUAAAAUUAUAAUUAAAUAGAUUAAUGUGAAUGUUGGAAUUUUGGAAUUAGAAAUUAAAACGGAAGUCGAAAAUUUUAAUGAAUUUAUUUAAAAUGGAAUUUUAAAGUAAAUAAAUAAAAUUAUAACUAAAUAGAUUAAUGUGAAUUUUGGAAUUUUCAGGAAUUAGAAAUUAAAAUCGGAAUUUUGAGAAGUUAUUUAAAAGUCGAGUUUUUAUUUUUCUUAUUUUUUAUUUUUCUUUAUAUAUAAACAAAUAAGUAAAUAAAUUAAAAUGAUUAUAAUUAAAUAAAUUGAGGUGAGAAUUAAAGUUUCGGAAAUUGGAGUUUUGAGAUUAUUUGAAGAUUGUAUAUAUUGUGAGUAGGAUUGGGGAGUUGGAAUUUAGAAAAUUUAUUGAGGAAUUAGUGCUUUUUAGAAAUGUAAAUUAUAUAUAUAUAAAAGGCAAAUGGGUUAACUUAAAGUGGGUGGGCUUGAAAUAGGCAUGGGCCAAGGUAAAGUGGGUGGACAGAAGCUUGGACUUGGGCUUCAGCUUUAGCCCAUGUCCACUAGCAUGAAGCCCAAGCUUUUAAUCUUUAACAAAAUUUGCCUUCACGCCUGGGUGCCACCUUCCAUCUAGGAACCUCCAUCAUGGACGCCGCAGUUGCCGGAGUUGGGACUGUCCCCGACGUCGGCGACAUGGAGGCCUUCGUCGUGAGUGCGGGUGACGACACGGAAGACGCUGCACUCGCCGUCCGCGAGGAGGGCGCCAUCAGCGCUGGCGUCGCGGGGGCCACGCGUGGCUGUCAUUGGCGCAUUCUGCUGGGAGCUCCGUCAUUUGAGUAGCCUUCACGACCAGCAUUCAUCCCCAGCCCAACUAUCUUGGCUUCCAAGUCCAGUUUUUUAUGCAUGGUGAUUGGUAGGCAUGAAAUGGGUGGAGAGUUUGGAGGGAAAAUGGGUAAAGAUGAUGCAAACAAGAAAAACACUACUACAAGUGUCAAAAGAAAACAGAGCCCAACAGAUCUCAAUAAUAAAAAAAGCCAAAGAAAAGAGAACGAACAUGUUAGGACCCUUUCAAAGCAACCUAAAAAAAAAGGAAAACAUUCAGAAUAGUCGUACGACCCUCUACCCAUUCACAGUCAACCUAAUGCCCGGAAAUGAUCAAUAGAAAACUGAAGAAAAUAACGAAUAGAGGGAAACGAGAUGGUUGCCGCGUUCAUACCUGGAUUUCUCCCGUAAGCCAAAAAAAUGGUUUCCCCCUUCCUUUCUUCUCUAGCUCCGGCAGCUUGCCUUCCCGCCCAAGCUCUCUAAAACUCCCUCCAGAUCCCCUCUCUCAUGGAUCUUCUCUUUUCUUCUUUGCCUUUUUCCCCAGAUCCGGAAAUCUAGCACCUGCUCCCCUGUUCCCUGCUCCCUACAGCCGCCUAAGGAUAGUUCCUUCUCCCUCCUUCCACUUCCAGCCGUCCUCGGGUGGAUAAAGAAAGCAGAAAAGAAGAAGAAAAAAAAUGAAUAAAAAUAAAAACCGGCCCAUGCCCCUAGCUGAGGGGGUCUACACAUAUACAAUAGAAAGCUUGGAAUCAAGAGGGAAGAGAGUAGGAAGUUACGAAGUGGUGGAGCCUUGGUAAAAUAAAAUUAACAACGGCAUUAUCAUGUGCGGGUCUCAGCGCUGGAUGGACCGAAUUUUGCUUCUCCCAAAACUCUUUCAAUAUUAUAAUUAGAGCCCGCUUGAUGCUUAGAAAAAUACAUUUGCAAGUGAUCUCCAUCUGUCAAUCAAUUAAUCUAUACAAUAUUAAAAAUUCACUUCUUGUUGAUUUAGGAAAAUCACUUUGUUGGGGGUGGCCUGUCUCCGAUGUUACUCAAGUUUCAACUCUGGACUUUUCAAAUUAACAAAGUGCAGUGAUUCAUCUUUCUUCUUUGUUCCAUUUUUGGCUGAAUUGUAAUCCUUUUGUCUGUAACUUACGGAAAGCUAUGGAGUUUCUGAGCUCAAUCGUGGGUCUGGUCCCCUGCUUCUAUGAUCACACCUCCAAGCAUACGGUCUACAUUCGUGAUCUGAGAAAAAAUAUCGAAGCCUUGAUGAAAGAAAUGGUGGUUCUGAACAACUUGUAUGAAGAUGUGAAGGCAAGGGUUGAACGUGCAGAGCAACAACAGAUGAAGCGCAGAAAGGAAGUGGGUGGGUGGAUCCGUGAAGUAGAAGACAUGGAGAAAGAAGUUCACGAAAUUCUGCAAAGAGGAGAUCAAGAAAUCCAGAAGAGUUGUCUCGGAUGCUGUCCCAGGAAUUGUUGGUCUAGCUACAGGAUUGGAAAGGCGGCAAGUGAAAAGCUGGUUGCUGUAUCUGGUCAAAUCGGCAAAGGACAUUUCGAUGUUGGUGCCGAGAUGUUGCCUCGUCCUCCAGUUGAUGAACUGCCCAUGGAGGCGACUGUGGGCCCACAAUUGGCGUAUGAAAAGAGCUGUAGGUUUCUCAAAGAUCCACAAGUGGGAAUUAUGGGAUUGUAUGGAAUGGGGGGUGUUGGCAAAACCACCCUCUUGAAGAAAAUCAACAAUGAAUUCCUCACAACAUCCAAUGACUUUGAGGUUGUGACUUGGGCUGUGGUGUCAAAAUCGCCCGACAUUGAAAAAAUUCAACAAGUUAUUUGGAAUAAAUUGGAAAUCCCACGUGAUAAAUGGGAAACUAGAAGCAGUAGGGAGGAGAAGGCUGCAGAAAUAUUGAGAGUUUUGAAAAGAAAAAGGUUCAUCAUGUUGUUGGAUGACAUUUGGGAGGGACUUGAUCUCCUAGAAAUGGGGGUCCCGCGUCCAGAUACUGAAAAUAAGUCCAAGAUAGUUUUGACGACCCGUUCACUGGAUGUCUGCCGCCAAAUGAAAGCUCAGAAGAGUAUAGAAGUGGAAUGUUGGGAGUCAGAAGAUGCCUGGACUUUGUUCCAGAGGGAGGUAGGAGAAGAAAUAUUAAAAUCUCAUCCGCAUAUACUGAUGCUUGCAAAGGAUGUUGCUGAAGAGUGCAAAGGUUUACCUCUCGCUCUUGUCACUCUUGGGCGGGCCAUGGCGGCUGAGAAAGAUCCCUCAAACUGGGACAAGGUAAUACAAGAUCUACGCAAAUCUCCAGCUGAAAUCACAGGUAUGGAAGAUAAAUUGUUUCAUCGAUUGAAACUCAGUUAUGAUAGGUUGCCUGACAAUGCCAGCAAAUCUUGUUUUAUAUAUCAUUCCAUGUUCCGAGAGGACUGGGAGGUUUUUAAUAUUCUUCUUGUAGAACUUUGGAUAGGGGAGGGGUUCUUGGGUGAAGUUCAUGACAUACAUGAAGCACGCGAUCAAGGGGGGAAAAUUAUUAAAACUUUAAAGCAUGCAUGUUUAUUGGAGAGUAGUGGUUCAAAAGAAGGAAGGGUUAAGAUGCACGAUGUGAUCCGGGACAUGGCUUUGUGGUUAUAUGGUGAACAUGGGGUGAAAAAGAACAAAAUUCUAGUAUACAAUAAAGUUGCCAGGCUUGAUGAAGAUCAAGAAACUUCCAAAUUGAGAGAAACAGAGAAGAUAUCAUUAUGGGAUAUGGAUGUUGGGAAGUUCCCAGAAACAUUGGUGUGCCCCAAUCUUAAGACUUUAUUUGUGAAAAAAUGUCAUAAUUUGAAGAAAUUUCCAAGUGGAUUCUUUCAAUUCAUGCUUCUACUAAGAGUUCUGGAUUUGUCAGACAAUGAUAAUUUAAGCGAGUUGCCUACUGGGAUUGGUAAAUUGGGUGCCUUGAGAUAUCUUAAUCUGUCACACACAAGAAUAAGGGAGUUGCCCAUUGAACUAAAGAAUUUGAAAAAUCUGAUGAUUUUGAUUAUGGAUGGUAUGAAAUCCCUUGAAAUUAUUCCACAAGAUAUGAUAUCAAGCCUUAUAUCCUUGAAGUUGUUCUCCAUUUACGAAUCCAAUAUUACAAGUGGAGUUGAAGAAACUGUACUGGAGGAGUUGGAGUCCUUGAAUGACAUCAGUGAGAUAUCAAUCACCAUAUGCAAUGCUCUUUCAUUCAACAAACUAAAGAGUAGUCAUAAAUUACAAAGGUGCAUACGUCAUCUACAUUUACAUAAAGGGGGGGAUGUGAUCUCACUUGACCUAUCAUCUUCAUUUUUUAAAAGAACGGAGCAUUUGAAGCAGCUUUAUAUAAGCCAUUGCAAUAAAUUGAAAGAAGUGAAAAUUAAUGUGGAAAGACAAGGGAUACACAAUGAUUUGACUCUUCCAAACAAAAUUGCAGCAAGGGAGGAAUACUUCCACACCCUUCGUGCUGUGUUUGUAGAACAUUGUUCAAAAUUGUUAGACUUAACAUGGCUUGUUUAUGCUCCAUAUCUUGAAAGACUUUACGUUGAAGAUUGUGAAUUGAUAGAAGAAGUGAUACGUGAUGAUAGUGAAGUCUGUGAAAUUAAGGAAAAAUUGGACAUAUUCUCAAGGCUCAAGUCCCUCAAGCUCAAUAGGUUGCCAAGAUUGAAGAGCAUCUACCAGCAUCCACUACUCUUUCCCUCUCUUGAAAUCAUCAAGGUGUAUGAAUGCAAAGGCUUAAGGAGUCUCCCGUUUGAUUCCAACACUUCAAAUAAUAGUCUGAAGAAAAUUAAAGGAGAGACAAGUUGGUGGAAUCAGUUGAAGUGGAACAAUGAAACUUGCAAGCACUCUUUUACUCCGUAUUUCCAAAUCCAUGAAGCUGAAGCAUAUUCAACUGACACUGAGGAGUCUGAAACUGGCAGCAUAGAUGAUGUGCAAGAACAACCGGUAUCAAAUUAACUUCUAUCAAUCUUUCAGGUAUUAAUUAACUUUUAUACUAUAUUUGGAAAAUCAUUUUCUUUCCUUAAUCCCAUUCUUUUGUGGAAUUUUUUACUCUAUAUAUCUAUGCCAAAGUGCAUCAAAGUCUCAACAUCAUAAUAACUUUCAAUGUUUGAUCUAUCAAGUUUGCCCCCUUUUGAAGUAACUGUUAUAAAGUUUGCCCAGAAGGGACUUUGAAGGAGGUCUUUUAUUUAAACAUCUAAUGACAUUUCCUUUUGGUUACUUGAGAACUUGAAAAUGUGCAGAGUUCUCAACUAUAUUGUUUAUUGUGUCUUAAUUUUUUCGGUUCAUUUCAAUCUAUAAACAGAAAGAGAGAAUACCUAAUUUCAACUUAAUUCCUUAUAUUUCAAGUUGAAACAACAGGUGUUUCACAACAACUGUAGGUAAAGAUAUUCCAUUAAGAAUUCUCGCUUUGUUUAAUGUAUUUACCAGGACCAACUAUAUGUAAUUUCUCUUCUUUUGUUGAGUUGCCUCUAUCUGGUUGACUCUCAGUUGUUCUUUUUUUUCUUUUCUUUUUUCUAUUGCAUUCAGAGUUGGGGCUUGUUCUAGAAGUUCUGACAACAGCUGGGAUUCAAUUAGCUCUAUCUAGUGGAGCCUUGAGGUUUUUGGUUGGAUGCAGAGCAGGGUCUUGUUCUACCCCUUCUUACUCAGUUGGGAUCUGAGCUUCAUCGGCUGCUUCCGUUGUCCUGCUCUUUUUCCUUCUAAUUGGUAUAGACGUGAGCUGGAUUAUGUUUGCUUGCUGGUCUGAGUUUCUGAUAUGUUUUGUGGCGGUGUGCUGAUUCUCAGAGUAUCGUUAUUCAUGGUGCUCAGUCUGCUGGGAAAGUUGGUUAAUGUCCAGAUGCAGGGGCUCAUCUCGGCAGGCUUUGGCUGGGAUCCAUGUGUUUGCUGGAAUUGGAUUCUGUGGGUUGCCUUUGGCUUUUGAUGUAGGCUGGGUUUGUUUUCUUUGUUGAGGUCAGUGGAGUAUGGUGGCUCAGAAGCUGCUAGUAAUCUGCCUGUUGUAUGCCGACGCUGGAAUCUUCAUGGUGGUUGCUCUGGUGGGUCAAUAUGAUAUGGGAAUGCUUUUGCCUUUUUGAGUCCUUGGGCGUCAGCUGGUUGCUUGUGUUUCCUCUGCACUUUAGCUCAUAUACCAGAGUGCAUACUUCCUUGAGUUCCAUAUCCCACUGCCAAGUGUGUUGUCCAUGAUGUAAUGUAAAGCAGUUAAUUUGUAUACCUGGCCUUAAGUUCCUCUCUAGAAAACUUUGAACGCCCUUUAUGAAUGAAAUGUUGUGAGAAAAACUGGAGUUGAUUUUCACAUUUGAGGUCGUUAAUGGUGAUUUUUCUUAAUGUAAUUGUGAUGGAAAAGAAAUUUGAUCAAGGAGUCGAAAUCAUAAGCAGAGUCGAUCUUAUUCAACAUUGCAUUAUAAUUUGGUACCCCUCACAGAUCGCUCUAAAUAGCAUUGAAAAGUACUUUCAUUUUCCUUCAGUGGAGGCUUCUUUUUCUUUGCUGGUUAAUAUUCAUAGCUUCAGUGCUUGAUGAAAUUUCAUUACUUUACAUUGUUCACUCUUGUCCCUCCUGCUCUAAUAAGAAUGAUUUGUUCAAGGAAUUUGAAAAUACUUGAACAAAAAAAGAAAAGAAUAGGAGAGAAAGGAAAAGAAAUUCAGAAAGCAAACACUUGGUAGUUUCCAUUUCAAUUAACCGAUCUUUGAAACUAAGAUGUAAUUCUUGGUACAAUAAAAGAAGACAUGCAACAUCUUAAGAAGAUUCAUCUAAUGGAACACACCAUCCUAUGAUAGGAAACUGAGACUAAACAGUAAUUUUUGGUAGAAUAGAUAUCGCAUGCCAAAAAGAAUGUUUUGUAGCUUUGGAUGCUUCAAAAUUCUUGUACGUAUAGCCCACAGACCUUUCGAGAUCAUACUUGUUUCUUUAGGCCUGUUUGAACAUACGGCUCUCGCGGAAGAUCUUACAAGUUUAAGAGUUCAUAUUGUCCAUGAAAUCACAGGAAAAGAAAAGGAUGUAUAAUCAAGUUCAUGAAAAAUAAAGAGAUGGCUUAUUAAAUUUCACAAGUAUGGGACAUCUAAAACACUUUGAGUUUCCAUUUAUGGGGCAAUUCCCAUCAAGUCCAAUGAUUGACCACCAAUGACUCGAAAAUCGAAACAUAGAAUGUGUUGCAUAUAAUUGAUGUUGCCUAAUUCUAAUAUUUCUCAUUUAUAUUAAUUUAUUCUCAUUCCUAUCCUAAUAAAAUUUUUUAAAUAAAAUAGGAUGGAUAUGAGAAUUUCUCAUACCCGUCUUAUACCAUUUAUUUAUUAAUUUUUAGUUUUUAAAAAAUUGAAAAUAAAUAUAUUUUAUAAAUAAAUAAAUAUUAACCUUGCAUGGUGCCCGCCCGCGAGCCAAGCCAAGGUGGCACGGGGCCUUGCUUGGUGCCCGCCCGCGAGCCAAGCCUAGGUGGCACGGGGCCUAUAAAUUUUGUAACUUAUUUUAUUUAAAAAUAUAUUUAUAAAAUUAUUUUAUAUGUUAAAAAAAGAAGAAUAUGAAAAACCAUAAAUUAAAUUAUUUUUAAAUUUAAUUAUAUGGGUUGGAAAGUGGUGGGUUAGGAGCCUAGGACAAGGCAUAUCUUGAACCUUGCCCCUAACCAACCCUAGUUUUUUUUUUUUAAAAAAAAAAAAAAAAAAUUCUUGAACUUGUAUAUGAUCUAUUUAUCUUCAUUUAAAUCUAUCUUAUUAAAGAUGAGUAUAGGAAAAAACCUGUCUCAUUGUCAUGUUAAUCAUAAAUUAUUUUAAUUUAAAUUUAGACACCAACAAAUAUUUAAAUUAAAUUAAAAAUGCUUAUGCAAUCAAGGGCUUUUUAGUUGCAGAAAAAUUGUGUACCUUCCUUGACAUUCUAGAUCCAGUUCUUGCUGGUUUUGGAGGAUCCAUUUGAGGAACAAUUUAAAUUUAUUCACAAAUACAAUUAUUCAAAAAGGCAUCAUGUUGAACACAAGCAAAAUAAGUAAAAAUAUUAAUAGAAAUGGAUGGAAGCAGAGUGCCUUUGGUGAGGUGGAUCACUAGCAAGCUCCAUUAACUACCAAGGAUUGCUUCACAACCUCUUAGUAUAUUAUUAAGUCAAAAGUAAAAUUAUUAAAGUUGAAUAAAUAGGUGGCAAUUUUGAUAAGCCAGAAUAACACCAUUCGAAAAUUAUAUGAAUUUUAGUAGGUUUGAAUAAGGUGUAAUCAUAUCCGUAUAAUAAUUAUGUCAACUCAUUUGCUAAAUGGACUGUAUUGGAACUUGAUUACUCGACUUAUCUAACUCACUUAACUUGUUUAAAUACAUGUAUGAGAUGUAUUUGCAUUGUCUAAUUAUAGUUCCUAUUGGAGAAUCAACUACUAUCAAUUUCACAGGAUGAAAUUAUAAUUAGUCAAUAUUACUUGAAAGUGAAAUCUCUUAUUCAAAAAUAUCUCAUUAAAUUUGAAAAGCUAAAAUUAUCAAGUAGAAGGUUAAAGGAACCAUUGAGCAUAUUUUAAAAUUCGAAUAUAAUGUAUUUAUUGUUGUAAUUCAAGCCUAAUAUUUAUUAUUUAUUAUUAAAAAUAUAAUUUUAUGUCUAAUUUUUAUAUUUAAGAUAAUUUAGCACAUUUGAACAAUAUUUUGAGAAUAAGAUUGAAGCAUCUAAUUUGACUAAUUGGAUAACAGAUUGGACUAAUCUGAUCUUAUUUUUCAUAUUUAUCCACCUUCCAUUCUGGGAUAAACAUGAACAAAAGUCUUCAUACGAUUAUAACAAUAUAACAAAAUAAUGAGUAUAAUAUUAAAUCUAAAAUAAAAACUUUACACAAAUUGGUAUAAAACCAAGUAUGAUAAUCCUAAACCAACCCCCGUAGAAAAAGACUUAAAUAUAUAAAAGACUACUAAAUAAAUGAGAAAUGAUGUAACAAGAUAUAUAUUAAAAAUAAUAAUAUUUUAAUAUUUUAAUUAUUUUUAUAAUUUUAACUUGUUAUAUUAUUUUAAAUUUGAACAAUAUAUGAACUAGAUAUCCAUGUUGUCAUGCCGAUAUCAUGUUUCAAUCACUUGAAUCAUCAAUUCAAUCAAGAAAUUGUAAUGCAAUAAUUUACCAACUCAAUGACUAAUAAGAUUUUGAGAACAUUGUAUUUGAAAGCUCAUAUGCAUAAAAUGAAUAUAAAAGAUUAUGAACUCUUGCAAAAAAUGAUGUUAUGGAAACCCAAACCUUAAUUUCUUCAAUAAUGCUUAUAAAAAAUCUAAGGUUGUGUAAUUGAGAAUGCUAAUGACCCAAGGUUAGAACCGGUUGCUCCUAACCAGACUUGUUCUUAUUUUUUAAACAUAUUCCCAUCUUCAUCUCAAAUCUAUAGGAAUUUACUUUCCUAUUUUAAGAAAAUUAAUUUUUAUUUUUAUUUUACAUAUAUUGAAAAAGGCAAAAGAAAAAUUAAGGUGAAGUAACAUGAAUCACUAUAAAACUAGAAUGAAUAUAUAUAUUUAUAUAAAAGAAGGCAAUUUAAAAUGUGUGUUUGACCGAUUUUUUUAAGUGUUUUUAAUAGAAGUAUUUUUUCUAAAGGUACUUUUGGAAGAAUUAACUAUCAAAUGUUUUUUUAAGAGACAUUACAAGUGAUUUUUCAUCUAUUUAAAAGUGUUUUUAAAAUUUUAUUAAAUACUUAAUUUUUUUUCAAAAACACUUUUUAAACUAAAAAUACCUUUUUAAAAAUAUUAUCAAAAAUGGAAUCAAAAUCUUAAAACAAAAUCUCAAAUCUACCCUUUAUUUAAUUAUAUUUUUCCAACCCAUCCUAUUGGGCCUAGACAUUACAAGUGAUUGGUCGUGUUUUUUAAAUUUUAUCAAAUGCUUAAUUAUUUUUCAAAAACAUUUUUUAAACUAAAACAUUUUCAAAAAAUAUUUUUUAAAAAUAUUAUCAAAUGGAAUCAAAGUCUUAAAACAAAAUCUCAAAUCUACCCUUGAUUUAAUUAUAUAUAAUACCCACCCCGAUUAUAAUACAAAAGCAAACCACCACCAAAGACAUUUAAACGACAUUUUAAAUACAAUUGAAACCUAUCAAUGAGACUUUGUCUCAUAAUACAAAUUUCGUUAUGUUCACAUGUAGAAAGGGACAUGUAAACAUAUACAACAGAAAGCGUGGAAUCAAGAGGGAAGAGAGUAGAAAGUUACGAAGUGGGAGCCUCGGCUAAAAUUAAUAAUGGCAUUAUAAUGUGCGUGUCUCAUCGCUGGAUGGACCAAAUUUUGCUUCUCCCAAAGAUAUUUGAAUGUUAUAAUUAGAGCCCACUUGAUGCUUAGAAAAAUAUAUUUGCAUGUGGUCUCCAUCUGUCAAUCUAUUAAUCUAUACAAUAUUAAAAAUCCACUUGAUGUUAAUUUAGGAAAAUUAUUUUAUUUUGUUGGUGAUGACCUGUCUCCCAUGUUACUCAAGUUUCAACUCUGGACUUUUCAAAUUCACACAGUGCAGUGCAGUGAUUCAUCUUUCUUCUCUGCUCCAUCUUUGGCUGAAUUCUAAUCCUAUUUUCUGUAACUUCCGGAAAGCUAUGGAGUUCCUGAGCUCAAUCUUGGGUCUUGUUCCAUGCUUAUAUAUGUGAUCACACCUCCAAGCAUACGGUCUACAUUCGUGAUCUGAAGAAAAAUCUCCAAGCCUUGAGCAAGGAAAUGGUGGAUCUCAAGCUGUAAUUCGAGGAAUGACCAAUUCAGUGCUUUCAUGUUCCAAUCUGAAUGAUUUACAGUAUAAUAUAGUGGUGAUGAAGACAAGCAUGAAACCAUGAGGACAGAGUGUGGAGCCAAGGGUCAAGUGGCAUCUAUACGCAUCUUGUUGUGAGAAGGAAGAAAUUAAAGAAAUGGUGGGGCCUAUACAAAAGAUAUGCUCAUAUCUCUUUUCGAAAAGAAAAGACAGAAUAAUUGAGCGACCCAGCUUUACGCAUCAUUCAACCAACUUUCCCCUUUGAAAAAUCUUAUAAUGGCGUAUUGCAUCAGGUUCUUUGAAUUACCAAACCCCUGUCUCUUCUCUCUUCAUUGCAAACCCUCAUCCCUUUUCCUCUUUGGCUAAAUUUUGGUCUCCGCUGGUGGUGGCGUGUCUCCCAUGUUACUCAAGUUUUAGCUCUGGAGUUUUUAAUUAACAAAUGCUGUGAUUCAUCUUUCUUCUUAGUUUGUUCCAUCUUUGGCUGAAUUCUAAUCCUUUUUUCUGUAACUUCCGGAAAGCUAUGGAGUUCGUGAGCUCAAUCGUGGGUUUGGUCCCCUGCUUCUAUGAUCACACCUCCAAGCACACGGUCUACAUUCGUGAUCUGAGAAAAAAUCUCCAAGCCUUGAGCAAAGAAAUGGUGGAUCUGAACAACUUGUAUGAAGAUGUGAAGGAAAGGGUAGAACGUGCAGAGCAACAACAGAUGAAGCGCAGAAAGGAAGUGGGUGGGUGGAUCCGUGAAGUAGAAGCCAUGGAGAAAGAAGUCCACGAAAUUCGGCAAAGAGGAGAUCAAGAAAUCCAGAAGAGUUGUCUCGGAUGCUGUCCCAGGAAUUGUUGGUCUAGCUACAGGAUUGGAAAGGCAGUAAGUGAAAAGCUGGUUGCUGUAUCUGGUCAAAUCGGCAAAGGACAUUUCGAUGUUGUAGCCGAGAUGUUGCCUCGUCCUCCAGUUGAUGAACUGCCAAUGGAGGCGACUGUGGGCCCACAAUUGGCGUAUGAAAAGAGCUGUAGGUUUCUCAAAGAUCCACAAGUGGGAAUUAUGGUAUUGUAUGGAAUGGGGGGUGUUGGCAAAACCACCCUUUUGAAGAAAAUCAACAAUGAAUUCCUUGCAACAUCCAAUGACUUUGAGGUUGUGAUUUGGGCAGUGGUGUCAAAAUCGCCCGACAUUGAAAAAAUUCAGCAAGUUAUUUGGAAUAAAUUGGAAAUCCCACGUGAUAAAUGGGAAACUAGAAGCAGUAGGGAGGAGAAGGCUGCAGAAAUAUUGAGAGUUCUGAAAAGAAAAAGGUUCAUCUUGUUGUUGGAUGACAUUUGGGAGGGACUUGAUCUCCUAGAAAUGGGGGUCCCGCGUCCAGAUACUGAAAAUAAGUCCAAGAUAGUUUUGACGACCCGAUCACAGGAUGUCUGCCACCAAAUGAAAGCUCAGAAGAGUAUAGAAGUGGAAUGUUUGGAGUCAGAAGAUGCCUGGACUUUGUUCCGGAAGGAGGUAGGAGAAGAAAUAUUAAAUUCUCAUCCGGAUAUACCGAUGCUUGCAAAGGUUGUUGCUGAAGAGUGCAGAGGUUUACCUCUCGCUCUUGUCACUCUUGGGCGGGCCAUGGCAGCUGAGAAAGAUCCCUCAAACUGGGACAAGGUAAUACAAGAUCUACGCAAAUCUCCAGCUGAAAUCACAGGUAUGGAAGAUAAAUUGUUUCAUCGAUUGAAACUCAGUUAUGAUAGGUUGCCUGACAAUGCCAGCAAAUCUUGUUUUAUAUAUCAGUCCAUCUUCCGAGAGGACUGGGAGAGUUAUAAUUUUGAACUUAUAGAACUUUGGAUAGGGGAGGGGUUGUUGGGUGAAGUUCAUGACAUACAUGAAGCACGCGAUCAAGGGGAGAAAAUUAUUAAAACUUUAAAGCAUGCAUGUUUAUUGGAGAGUUGUGGUUCAAGAGAAAGAAGGGUUAAGAUGCAUGAUGUGAUCCGGGACAUGGCUUUGUGGUUAUAUGGUGAACAUGGGGUGAAAAAGAACAAAAUUCUAGUAUACAAUAAGGUUGCUAGGCUUGAUGAAGAUCAAGAAACUUCCAAAUUGAAAGAAACAGAGAAGAUAUCAUUAUGGGAUAUGGAUGUUGGGAAGUUCCCAGAAACAUUGGUGUGCCCCAAUCUUAAGACUUUAUUUGUGAAAAACUGUUAUAAUUUGAAGAAAUUUCCAAAUGGAUUCUUUCAAUUCAUGCUUCUACUUAGAGUUUUGGAUUUGUCAGACAAUGAUAAUUUAAGCGAGUUGCCAACUGGGAUUGGUAAAUUGGGUGCCUUGAGGUAUCUUAAUUUGUCAGUCACAAGAAUAAGGGAGUUGCCCAUUGAACUAAAGAAUUUGAAAAAUCUGAUGAUUUUGAUUAUGAAUGGUAUGAAAUCCCUUGAAAUUAUUCCACAAGAUAUGAUAUCAAGCCUUAUAUCCUUGAAGUUGUUCUCCAUUUUCGAAUCCAAUAUUACAAGUGGAGUUGAAGAAACUGUACUGGAGGAGUUGGAGUCCUUGAAUGACAUCAGUGAGAUAUCAAUCACCAUAUGCAAUGCUCUUUCAUUCAACAAACUAAAGAGUAGUCGUAAAUUACAAAGGUGCAUACGUAAUCUAUUUUUACAUAAAUGGGGGGAUGUGAUCUCACUUGAACUAUCAUCUUCAUUUUUUAAAAGAACGGAGCAUUUGAGGGUGCUUUAUAUAAGCCAUUGCGAUAAAUUGAAAGAAGUGAAAAUUAAUGUGGAAAGAGAAGGGAUACACAAUGAUAUGACUCUUCCAAACAAAAUUGCAGCAAGGGAGGAAUAUUUCCACACCCUUCGUAAGGUGCUUAUAGAACAUUGUUCAAAAUUGUUAGACUUAACAUGGCUUGUUUAUGCUCCAUAUCUUGAACAUCUUCGUGUUGAAGAUUGUGAAUCAAUAGAAGAAGUGAUACAUGAUGAUAGUGAAGUCGGUGAAAUGAAGGAAAAAUUGGACAUAUUCUCAAGGCUCAAAUACCUCAAGCUCAAUAGGCUGCCAAGAUUGAAGAGCAUCUAUCAGCAUCUGCUACUCUUUCCCUCUCUUGAAAUCAUCAAGGUGUAUGAAUGCAAAGGCUUAAGGAGUCUCCCAUUUGAUUCCGACACUUCAAAUAAUAGUCUGAAGAAAAU
rnacentral:lncRNA from 1 species